rnacentral:lncRNA from 1 species
AGCCUCUGUAGAACAAAGUGGUGCAGAAAAAUAUUGUAGUGAGUCAAGGUUUCAAUUGAGAUGUGGAGGGAAACAUUAUUUUGCAGCAGCUUAUAUGUUGGGGUAUGAACGCAUGGGAUUGAUUACAGCAAGUUAAUACUGGUAGAGAUAUGCAGUAUGUAGCAGUGUUCAGUCCUUGCAGUAGUUUUUCAGAUUCUUCAUUGGAUUGUUUGUUGCCUUGCUUCCAUGGAUUUUGUCUUCUCAGCUCUGUGUUGCCUCAAUGCUCUGCUGCAACCUACAAUCUUGUCAACUGACUGUGGAUGAUGUUCUCAUACUGCCAAGUGGCUGUUGGGUUUUGAUUUUUGGGAUGAUAAUCUUGUAAAUUGUUCUACAUCAUGUAUUGUGCUUCUUGUUAUGUACUUGGUCCAACCAUUAUGCUUGUUACCAAGCAUAUGGUUGAGGGGGAUGUUAAGUAUAUAAGGAUAGUUGAGUCAUUUACUAUUAUCCCUACCGAUAUAAAGCUAUGAGUUGUGUACACUGUUCAUCAAUUGAGAAAUACAAGAUGUAGACGUUUACUCUCUCCUGUGUUUUCUUUACUUUUCUGCUUAGCAUUUUCAAUUCAAUAAUUCCAUGAAUCCUAUCAGUCGAAAGGGUUGAUAGAAGAGGAAAAGUUGAGCUUGGCUACUGUGAUUACGAAUCCGGAGGAGUAUUUCUUAAGUAGAUUUGUCACCAGAUAUGUCGACCAAGUACCUCAGUUGUCGAAUAUAUACCAAGGAAAAAUGGAUGUGCAGGAUGUAUGAUCUUGGUCACACAGUUUCUAGGCUGAUAGUGUUGAAUAUCUGAAGUUUCUAUUGGAAGAAAUUAAAUGUUGCAUUGAUCACUAUUUUUCAUUACUAUAACGAGAUCAUUUCUAACCAGUGUCUCUGUUCUGGAAGUAUAAUAUAAUCCCUUCGAGUGGUUGCUGUUGACGAGUAUCUGAGAAGGAGCAACAAGUUAGCUUGUUAUUAAUCGUUUUCUAAUAACAACUUAUUCCGCAGCAUAUAACCAAUCUUCUAUCUUCCUUCUUGAGCUUCAGGCAUUUUCCCUAGUUUAAAUGGUUGAUUGACUUUGAUCGAGUUCUCCAGCUACCCUAAUCAUAUUUUCUGCUUUAGAGUAUUCCAAUACUCCCUAGCAUCAAACAUGAUCUAACUUCAUAAUCUAUAUCCAGAUUUAGAGAACUCCAAUGAUCAUAUUAGCUUUCCUAUAACAUGGUGUUGUAACUGUUGCUGAACCAUGGCCAGAGAUGCAGGUGUGACUGAGUAGCUUCAUCUUAUGUGUAUGUACAGCUUGGAUACAGAUUACAGAAUCAUCCCAAGGUUUUCGGUUGUUAGAGUUUUGAUGUUGAAAGGAUUGAUUAAAGAGGAAAGGUUGAGUUUCACUACUGUUUUUGCGACUCCAGAGAAGUACUUCUUGAAUAGUUCUUUCCAGAUUUCUGGACACAGUACCCCGACUUUCGAUAAGUACCAAGGAAAAGCGCAUAUAUGCACUUCAGCCCAGUUUGUGAGGUUAGUUUGUAACGCACUUGUAGGCUUGAUAGUUUUGAAUAUGGCUUGUCAACAGAUAGCAUUGGAAGCAGCAUUCUCAGUAAUGACUAUAAAGAGAUUUCUAAAUUAUCGUCUCUGCCUUACAUUCAGUUUGUUUGUUACUAGAAAAUAUAUUACUUAUGAUCAUGUCCUCAGUCUGAAGUCUGCACUUAGAAAGGAGGUUUCUAAUUUAUCAUGUCCUGUUAGAUUAUUGAUUGGUAGCAAUUAGGUGAACGGGUUCUGUGCCAUUGCUGCCCUCAGUAAUGUCCCUAGACUACUCAUUGGUUUUAAGGUCUCUCGAAUCUGUGAAAAGCUCUAACGAAAGUCGUCAGCUGCAUCUGUAUUUGCCAACUGUGGGCACGCUGCAAGGCAUGUCUGUUCUCUACUAGUCAAGAGGGGAUCCAUGUUAAGCUGAUAGCUUUAGGUAUCGAAACAGCUAGGAUAAGAUUCUGCAACAUGAAUUUCUAUCAAUUAACGAACACCUUCUUAUUAAGUUGUGGAUUAGGAGAUAAUGGCUAACCCAACUCAAUGAAAAGCGUUGGUUCCAUUUCAACAUUAAUAUGUUCGUUCUGAAAAGUUCAACUGGGAUUCGAUCCACUCGAUGUUUGCUGUGACUUUUGGUCUAGAUUGUCAUACUAAAAUCUGGAGUUCAGUUAUUCACUCGUUUUCCUUACUGUCAUGGCAAUAGAGAAAAGUUCAACUUUCUUGUAGCUGUUGAUAACUAGUAGUGAGGAUCUGUGAUCUUUGCUAUGUUGUAGGCUGAUAGUGCCAAUUCCAGAGGCACCACCAUUUGAUGCUUGGACUUUGGAGUAGAAAAAACAGGUUUCUGUAUGAUUUUCAUGAGUAGGUAUAAUCACUGUCUCAGUUUGUACUUAGCAAAGAGGUUUCUAAAUUUUCAUGUCCUGUCACUUCAAAUUUAUCCUCAAGAAUCAGAUGCUCAUUUCUUGUAGUUUCGAACUGUAAAUAUGUCUGUUUCGCAACAAGACUGGCUAUAAUAUGUAAACAACAGUCUAAUAAUAUGUAAUCACACAUGUUCGGGAAUAUACGCAGAAUCACCAUCAGAUGAAAAGACUAAUUAAAUUUCUAGGAUGAUGGGGUUAGGAAAAAAUUUGGCUUCUCUACUUGGAUUUAUGUUGUUUGGAUUUGCUUGGAUGACUUCUAACCAUUGGAUCAAGUACAAUCUAAGACGAACAUGUCAUCCUUACUUCAUCUAAUAGUUAUAAGACAUCCAAGCAAAUCCAAACAACUUAAAUCUAAACGGAGAAUCCGGAUCCGUUGGGAAAACAUGACAUAUUUUACUUUGGCCUCACUCUGGCUCACUUUUCAUCGGCAUCGUUAGGCAAACUUGCUAAUUGCUAUGGCUUGGGUACCAACAGCCUCACCUCACUUGUCACGGCCGCGUGGGCAGUUACUAUUAGUCUCACCUCAUUUGUAUGGGCAAGGGUGGUGGGCAUUGUUAGCCUCACUUAGAAGUUGCUCUGAUAACUUGGCGUCAGCAGUGUUAGCAUCACUUGUAUUGAGCCUCACUUGCAUGAGCCUGAGCACCGGUAGAGUCUAGCUUAGAUAAAACCUGCGGCAAAUUUCAGUUUCUUGACUUCAGAAAGCAAGGACAAGCACAUGCCAACUGAGGGAAAAAUCAAGCUGCACCAAGUGUGGGUAAGUUCAGCCAUACACCAAGUUAUGCGAAGCAAGAUCAAGUAAAGACCAAGUAUGGGUAACGUUUGGUUGGUGUUCGAAACGCACAAAAUCAAGCGAACACAGUACGAGAGCACUGCCUAUUGAACACCAGUGCAGGAGCUUAGUCUCAACAGGCCGAAGGUCGAAAAACAUAAUGAUGGAAGGGGGGAGGAGGAAGCAACAAAUUGAAGUGUGAUAUAGGGCUUAAUAUCAAUGGAUUAUGACAGCCAGGCCAUUCUACCACUCAUUAUCCCAUUGCUCAUUGAAGUCGUCUGCAAAGGUUUUUUUUCCCACAACUUGGGUAUUUCAGAGCAUCUCUCACAACCUGUGCACCUCUGGACUUGGCCAUAAUUAGGCGCUAACUGUGGGUCGGUAAUCAAAACCUUUCCGGCUUUCCUGAUUAGAGCAUAUAAAGACCAAGAGUUGGUUACUACUCUAGGCGUGUUCUUCCGUUUAGGUUGAAUCACCCGCACCAUCUGUCAUCUGCUUGAAACGAAGACGAGGGCAAACCGACAAAGAGGGAAAGAUGAAGGCUCAGAAAUUUAAGUGGCCGUGGAGUAGAAGAUAAAUAUUUUCGACCAAGACCGAGAAGUGGAGAGAGCAAAAAAAAAAAAAAAAAAAAAAAACAGCCCUAGUCCUGUGUGUAACACCAAACCUAGACCUCUAAAUUCAAAUUCAUCAAAAGACAUUUUCAAACUUUGAUUUCAAAACUCAGGAACUGGCUAAACUAUAGUGAGUCUUAAUAAUCCUCAUAAGACAGGCCAAUUCAGGAAAUGAAGAGGUAACUUUAUUGAUAUGCUCCGCUAAUCAUCGGAGAUGAAUUUUAUUGAUACAUCCAAUGGCCAAUUGAAAUAAUUAAACUUUAUUAUCUAAACCUAUAUGAAUGUUAUUGCUAUGGGUUAAGUUUAAAGUAUAAAACUAUAUACCAACAUCAAAGAAAAUUUUGAACAAGAAUAUCACAUCAAAUUCAGUACUACCUAUAGCUGCACCUGCCCCAGUUGCUCAACCUGAAAGCAGAUCCAUGCUCAAGUCAGUAAAUUACCAAUGAAACUGCUAGAUCCUAAUUCAAACAUCUCAAGCACUUUGAAAGCUUAUACAUAACGGUGUAUUGCUAACAUGCAAAAUGAUGACAUUUUCGUGUGGAAGACUAAAGAUCAUAAAUAUUAAAGAGAAGGCCAGAGUGCCAAUUUGGCAGAAAUACCAAAUCGUAAAUUACAAAAAAUUUCAGCAUGGAUUGCCUACUUUCUACACAAGAUAUAGAAGAAACUUUGCAAAUAAAGCAUAUAGUCAUAUACUAUAUGCUCCUAAGGUUCAAUAACAAUCAAGUAUGGUCAUGAGCAUUAUCUGCAUUUUUCUUUUACUCCUUACACAGCACUGUCAUUGACAAUUAGUAGUUGGACUCCCACAACCUAAAUAUAUACAUGCUUUGUUUUUUCAUUUUUGUGCUUUUCCUUCAACAUUCAUGUUCUCCCAUCUAAGUAACCUAAAAUGGCUUUUCCCUUGGGAUGAACAGAAAUGAACAAAAGCCCACUGUUAGAAAAGCAACUAUUAUAUCUUGGGGAAAAGAGAGUAUUCACUUCUUGUAUCUGCAUCUCACACAAAAGUAAACUAGGUUUUUUUUUCUUUUCAAUUUUUUAUGAUAGGAAUUCUCUUAUUUGAGAGACACUGAUACAUAUUCAAUAGAAGAUCAACUGAUUGCUACGUUUAAACCAAGUUCAGAAGUCAAUGAACGAUCGCUGAAAAUUGUGAAAAUUUUACCUGUGAGAUCUGAAGGAAAGACCUAAAAAAUAUCCACCUCCCCUUCUCUUCACACAGAUGUCUUUUAUAUACAAAAGUUGCCACUGGCAAGAGAAAGUACCGAAUAAAAGUUAGAGAAGAAGGCAGACAGUAAAAACAAUAAAGCAAAUUUUCAUUGCUACGGCUACACAAACCUUUGAUGUAAGAAAAGCAGAACCCCAGCACUGGGAGUUUCAUGGAUAGCACUGACAAUAGUCUCAUUUACACAGUUUUCUGAUUCGAUCUCUAUUAAGGCAGCAAGGAGACAAAGUGAAGGAACAACCUGUUCAUGUUACAUUCUACCAAAAUCAAACUCAAGAGAUGUUUUUUGGAAAGUGAAAGGAAACAGAGAAAAGAAAAAAGAUUAGAGGGCGGGAAAUAAAGAAAAUCUAAUAGAAGGGCAGCAUACCUGCAACUUCCAAUUUUUUUAGCUCUCUUUACAUAGUGCCGAUAUGGCUCAUUCUGUAAAGUAAGAUCAGACAAUUCAUGCACAUACUGGAAGACUUGCAAUGCAGAUAACAGAUUGUUAAGAUAAGUUAACCAGCUGAAGAAGAAAGCCCCAAUUGAACAUGUGGUUCUCAUCAUUAUGUAGAACUAUUAUAUCUUCCAACACAUUCUUCAUAUCCACCUUUUGAAUGCUGCUCAGAAUCUUUUUCAGAAGAGCCUUAAAUAGUGAUGGUUCAAAGUCCUCGAAAUGACUAUUGGUUAUUGAGAUCCGAUGACCCACUUUGGAUCCAUACAGUGAUGGAAAACAGAUCUAGGAUCACAGAGAAUAAAUUGGGUAGAAGCUCCUCAGUAUAUAUGAACAGAAAAAUUUUGGUGACAACCAGAUCUCCCGGUACAAGUUCCAAGCUGUACAGCAGAAAUAUCCAGGUCAUCCCUUCACUGCAUGAGACCCAAGGACUCACCAAUAUGGUCUUCAUGUAUUAAUAUCAUCCCCACCACCAUCUGGACUCUUCUGACGGAUAUUGCUAAUGGCUUCCGUUGCAAGCCGUACCAAACGUAGUAAUCCCUCUACAUCCUGGAAGUUAAAGUCAAGAGCCCUUUUAAUGGAAGAGAUGCAUUCGGAAUACUUAGAUUCUCCCACAGCAGCUGCAAAAGCAAGAUGUGAUCUCUUUGAUGCGUCCAUUGCAUUAUGUACAUCUUGUGUCUGCAAUUCAUCAAUUUUGAGUAUAUAGUUUGUUCAGUCAUCAACCCAUAAAAACAUUGCUAGUGAGAACUGUGAGUGAGUAAGUGAGGAGGGGGGAAGGGGUUGGAGGCGUGUUACAAAAUGGAAGCAGUGCUCAGGUCCCAAAUAUAAGGAAUGACAGAUUAAAAGUUUCAAUAGAAGAUCAAUGAAAACUCACAAAUUUCAGCAUCCGGACAAAAUUGGGACGAUUUCGAGCAGCAAUGACAUGGUUUCCAGCAACUUGGGGUGAGCUGACUCCCUUAGGUAAGGGAACCUUGUCUGCGGUUGAGGGAUUGUUUAAGUUGUCAACAUCAGAGGCAGAGGAAGACGGAGAUUCACCUGAUAGAAAACCAACAGAGAAUGGCAAAUAAGUUAUUAGAAAAAAAAAUUGUUACAAGAGCUUUGCGCCUUCUUUAACACCAAAGCAGCAAAAAUAAAAUUUAAUUUACCAGGAGGAACCAUUUGUAAAGCUGUUUGCAACUCAUGUCGGUCUCUGCCUGCACUGGAAUGCGAGGAGUAGAUCACUUUCAAAUAAGCCACCUCCAAGCAUUUGAAGGCCAAAGCAGCAGAAGCCAUGUCUUUGGAUUUUUCAUAUUCAUGAGCACAAAACCUAUAGAUAUUUUAAGUUAGAAAGGAAAAGCAGGGGGCUACAAAAAGUGACAAAAGCUCCCGAAUCAAAAUAGAAUUAAAAUCCACAAAAAAAAAAGAAGAAAAAAACAGUUAAAGAAACAAAUCUACUACGAGAAUCCCUGCAGAAAGGGAUGGCAGACAACAGAUAGAUUUGCAUAGUAUGGUAUAACACCAUAUACCUUGUGCAAAGAAAGAUGAGUCAGCUUCACCAAGCAUGAAGUCACAAAAAAGCUCCCAAUUUUAUAUAAUUUUUUUCUAGUGAAGUUACCUACUCCCCAAGGCAAAAGCACCAACCCCUUGGCCAGUACACUCUUUCAUCUACCUCCCAAACGAAAAGACCCUCACAAUCACACUAGAGAAACACAAAAUACAGGCUCCAAUUACUCCUAAAGAUUUCUGUUAAGUACCCUCCCAUAUUAAUUUGGGAUCCAACACCACACCAGCAUUCCAUGAGUGGUAGCAGUGUCUCACAUGCAAGGUUGGAGGGAUAUUAAUUUGAGGAUAUGAAGAAGUACAGCAUGACUCAAUUCAGGAAUGUUAAAAAAAAUGACUGAAAGGAUAUGAAAAAUGACAGUCACAUAGAUCGGUGCAUGUCUAGAAGGGUUAAUACAGCUCAAGUUUGACUUACUGGCAUAGUGCUGCAGUGCUUCUAUAAAUUUGCAUGGAUUCAUUAUGCUUGGCACUCUCAGUGUUGGCAGAUUCUAAGAGAGAUGCAGCGUGAAGAAAUUUCAGGACCGCCUGGAAGUAAAGCCCCGUACUAUCAUUUUCCUCAUUGUUCUGCAAAGAUCAACAUUAAAUACAAUUUGUACAGAAAGGAGCAGCAACAUCUAGUCAUGAAAAUAUAAUAGGGUAAGACCUUGUAACGAUCAGCAAGGUGUUUCAUAUCUUUAGCUUCUUUCAGAAUACACAUAUAGGCCGGGGUGGAAGAAUCCCUUCUAGCUGGACUAGGGGCAUCAAGAUCCCUAGGUCUAUGCCCAUUCUGUGCACGAUGUCUUGAACUAAUAUGCUGAGUUCCAUUCUGAGUAUCAGCUUUUCUGUUCCGCAUUUGCACCUUGACUGAAUCAUUACCUUCAGAGCCAUCUACUUGUAAUAUAUCUGCUCCAUUACCUUUGUGAGAACCAGAGACUGGUCGGGGACAACGAGUCAUUUCUGGUUGAGCUCCUCCAGAGGGUGGCAAGGGCAGUGACUUUCCCCUUGUCGAACCUGCAUCUACUCGGUCACUUCUUCCAGAAGGAAUUCUCUUUGAAGACCUUUCACUAUCAGAUUCUGGCUGCUUCUUCGGAGUCGAAAUCGCGUCUCUUGGGUAAAUAGCAUCUAGUCUAACAUCUGGGCCAUCAUGCCCCCCAAAAUUAGACUGGUUCUCCCUUUUGCUACUCUCAUUCAAGGACUUCCCCAGCAAAUCUUUUUUACUAACAUAUUUGUUCUCAGUUUCACCAUAUUUGUUCACCUUCUCCGGCAAUUUGUUUUUAACAUCUCUAGGUUUCAUUCCAAGUGAUGGUGAAUGGUCAUGCUGUUCAUUGACAACAUUAGAAUUCCUGGCCUUCCCCAUGUCCAAAUCAGAUUCGUAGCUCUGCUUGUCCUUUGACCGUGAAGAGUGGCUCUUUCCUGAAUUUCUUGGGCGAGACCCCAGAGCGUUAUAAUGGCUGCCAUUCCCUCUGUCUUCACCAGCAAAUUGACUUGGAACUAGUGGUUUAAUAGGAGAACGACUAUCUGGUCCUGAAUUAUCCAAAGCACCAUUCACAGGAAAAUUAUUCGUAAUAUCCGGAGAUGCUACAAUCUGUCCCCUAGCUUUACCACCAGAUAUGCGACUACGAUCUCUGUCCUGAACAUCAAGUACUGAAGGUUCAGACCUAUGAUAAGCCCCGGAGGGAACUUUAUCCUUUCUCGCUGUCCCAGAUCGAUCAAUCCUGCUGUCAUCUUCACCAUCUGAGCAUCGUUGUGGGCUACCUAACGACAAACGACCAGCAUCUUGUGACUCGUCCUUUGGCCUGAGGUCUCUAGGUACUAAUUCAUGCUUAUCAGGGUGUAAGAUUCUCAUAGGUGAUGAUGAAACCGAUUCUACAGGCGAACCUUUAAUUUCUUGAAAGCUGGAUUUGGUCUUUUGGGAGCCAGAAACUUUGGAAGAGCUUGAAGUGGCAGCCACAGAAACCUGAACAGAUCCCGAAUCCUUCUUCAAAGAAUCCAUACCAUUCUGACUCCGCUGAAUUCUAAUGCUUGUAUUCUUCGCAGAUUGUUGCUUCUUUAUAUGGCUACUCUUUUUGUCUGUUCUACCACUGCCUUUGCUUGCACUGGACUCUUUUGCCUCAGAUUUAGAUACUCUUGCCUUCUUUUCCUUCCUACAGUCAUUCUCACUAAACUCUUCCUUCACUGCAACGGAACGGUCUGGAAGGGAACCCUCAUGAAUUUCAGGAUAUUCCCUCAGUUUUCUCUUUUUCGGUCUAUCUCUGAUAACAUUACCCAUGCAAACUUCAUCUUUCACUUUGGUAAGAGUAGCAGCCCCUAGCCUGUCCUUAAGUCGAUCUUUUCCUGCUUCAGUAGUCAGAAAACCACUACUUGAGCUAGGACCAACCUCGCCAUCAGGUCCGUGGUGAUCUGAUGCCCAUUCUUCAUCAGUCAUACGCCUACCUUCGCUCUUGAUUUUCUUUGGAGCUCUAGAAGUAUCUGGAUCAAAGUCCCUUCUGUUCUUAAUCUUUAAAUUGUUGAUAUGACCUGUAAUGGAUGUUAUCAAAGAGUAUGUAAGAUUAAGCAUUAUCAGCAAAAUUUCAAAAGCACUAACAAAUUCAUGUAGUAAAUAAAUUACCUCCAUCAUAAGAGGAACCUAAAACUGUUUGCUUAUCUUUGUGCUUAUGCUUCCGUUUCUCCACUGCCAAGCCACUGGAAUUGCUUAACUGCUGAAAAUUGGGCUCGUUCAGAGGUGAAGAUUGGUUAACAUCAUUCAAGCUUUUACUCUUCAGUGAUGCCUGUAUGUUCUUCAUAGAGCCUGGCAGCAGGACAGAACCAUCUUUAUCACUUGCCUUUGACACUUCUUUCAAUCCAUUUUUUUUCAUCCCACCACCAGGGAUGGCAUGCACACCAAAAUUUUGGGGGUUUUGAUCAGGGUGCCGAAAAUUAGCCAGUGCCACACCUUCCAUAGAGCCACCAGGAUUAUUGAGAAGAUUAGUUUGACUCCCAGGUGCAGGAACAUGGUAUUGUGCAAUUAAGGCUUUUGUCUUCUCUGUUGUUUCCUCCUCCGUUACACUACACCGGUUCAUCCCAGGCCUGCAUUUGAAUCAAGAGAUCAGCUUCACAACGAGACAAAGAGAAAGAAAAACUGAAACUACUAGGCACUGAUAUGUAUAACUAACAUACAUCAAUGUACCCGUCUAGGGUAUGAUUGAUUACUGUGUAAUAGAAUGAAUGUAUGAUAAAUAGUGAAGGACUAGAAAGGAACUUACAGCCAAUUGAGCAUGCUACAUAGCCACUUCUCUGGUAGGUUGUCGGGAGUGGUACCAUGUGGAAGAAGCCGCCAUUUUAGACACUUGUCACACUGCACCCAAUAGUCUUCCAUUAAUGCAGGAGCCCCUGUUGCAGGAGCUGCAUCAGAAAUGGGUCCAUUUCCUGGGCGUUGAGCUAUAUUUGAAGCUGUAACAGGAUGUGAAUCAAUUGUCUUGCUAUUUGGUUUCUCUCUUGAUGAGACAUUAACUGCAUAUGCGCUUUUUGCAACAGCAUCAGACUCCUUAAGCUUAACUUCAGAAGGCAAUUGCAAUGAAUCAAUUAGGUUCUCUUCUUCUUCAUCCCCAAAGAAAUCUCUAUAGGUAUCCCUGCUUUUAUCAGGGCCCUUUCUCAAGCUUUCUGACUCACCAUUGGAUGUAAGCUUGUUUACAUGCGUACUCUUUCCUUUGGGCAUUGAAGAAGAACCGGCCCUGGAGCUUUCUUUUGGAAAGUCUGUAACUAGAGUCCUUGGAAUUUCUUUUGAUUUCCUUUUUUCGCCAGGUAAAAGCUGCUCCUUCCCAGAAAGAAAUCUCAUAUCAUCUACCUCAUGGGCUAAACCCUUCUGACUGCCCCUUUGCUUUGACUGGUCCAUCAUUUCAGUACUUAGAGAUUUCCUCCCUUUAGAAACAUUUGAGUCUGCUUUUGCUGAUUCAUUACUUUUCUCUUUGCGAUGGCCAUUUUUCUUUGGAGGUCUCGAAACAAUAUUGCUAGAACUUACUUUUCUAUCUUCAUGAACCUUUCCAUCCAAACUGGCUUUUCGCUUUUCAACCCAGUUUUGCUCUUGGUUGGAUGUUGGCUCCAUAGGCUCAUCUUCUGCUUGACAAGGGAAGCCUUUAUCCCUUACAACAUUCUUAUCUGCUUCUUUACUCUUUGUCACAUCAUUGACAGAAGAGUAUGAAUUGGAUAGAAGUGGGAGCUUCAACGUUUUAGAAACAAGCUCUUCGCAAGCAAAUGUAUCGAUAUCUUGAUCUUUUUUCGCCAGAAGCCGAAUUCCAUCCUUAUUGUUCCCACUCUUUGAUUCUGCAGAAAGAUCAUUUCUUUCAACUGAUUUUGUUUUCCUCGCCCCAGACACUUUUCCACUACCCUCCCUGGUAUUUGCUCCAUGUACUAGGAACCCAGAUCUUUCCGAGCCAUCCCUUGGAAGAGGAAGAGAUCUGACUUCUUUUGCAAUCAUUUCCUUUUCAGUUAAAUAAAUUAAAUCUUCAGGAAGAGGUGACAAAAGCAUACCCUCAUACACCGGACAGGAUGUCAUAAUCUGCUUCAGACCGUCAUCCAAAAGAAUAUUUCAGUCAAUGCACAUUAUGUUUGAAUAAGAUAACAACUAAAUAUUUCAGGGAGAUGAUCACCUGGAGAAUACUAGUGGGAGAUUCAAAUAGGGCAUCUUGAGGGUCAUGAGAUAUUCCUUCACUAUCUGAAGAAUCAUCAAGUGAGGAAGAUGGUGUACCGUCAAGGCCAAGCCCACUAUAGAUAUCAUUUUUUCGUGUCGACAAGUUAUCCGAACCCACUUUAAGUCGUACUUUGAGAGUUUUCUGGUCUGGUAUUUUAAUAGGUUUCUUCGUUGCAGAUUCCUGUUCAGGAGGAUACAAAUCAGCUCGAUUAGAUGAUACACUCACGUCUUGUUUGACUGGAAUGUUUGCUGAUGGUGCCUUAGGCGCAACAAGUGAAAUAGAACUGGUAGAAGCAGUUCCAAGUCCCACAGACUGAGAUACAGCAUAACAACUUGCAUUGUUACGAUGGCCACCCUGUGUGGUAAAGCAAACAAAUGCGCUCAAGAACAAUUAUUCUGAAAUAAAUAUGGAAUAUAUGUAACAAAUAGAAACUAAUAUCCUCAUUAAGUUGAUACCUCGAGUUUUAGACUGUUGGGAGAUUUGGGUAAGCCAUUAUUCUGAAUUUUUGCUGGAGUCCUCGGAUGAGACCAGACUGGAGACCGCUGAUAGCUAGGUAAAAAUGAGCCAUACCCACCGAACUUUGCCCCUGUUACAGUAAAAUUAUCAAAGUUCGUUAAUAACAGAGAAGAGACUACAAUUAAGGCAUACCUUAAAAAUGAAAGAAGUUACGGCUCCACUAUUUGACUUACCUAGAUUCUCAGCAGACACCCCACCUUCAAAAUCUUUCUGGAAGUGUCCCAAAACAUCCUGAAUUUUAUCAUCCUAAUGUCAAGCAGAGCAAACACAUAGUUAAGUACAAAGCUCAUUCAAAAGACAGUAAGUAAUAACAAGGGCUAGAACAAGAUGGCAAUACUUCCAUAACAGUUCGGGUGAUAUUUACGUAUCUUUUAAUAUUUGAGAUAAUACAUUGUUCAGCUAUCUACUAUUAAUCCCUACAUCAGGAACCAGCAGUUACUCUCAAUUACAGAUACAGAAAGUAUGAUCGGACACUUUCAGUCAUAUCAUAGGUAAGUCCCAGAAACCUUGAUUUAUAACAUUCGAAUAGUGCAAUCCCACAAAAUUUGUAACUGGAUAAGAGGCACAGCACAGUCAACAGUACUCGAGUAACAUUAUUAUGCAGCAACUAAGUUUUACCAUAACCAGUCACCAGUGCAUAAAACAUUUCCAUAAACCACCUGAAACAACCAUUUCAAUACCUCCCAAUAACAAGUCAAUGAAGAAUACUUUAGCUCAUUGCAAAAUGGAUGAAUCUCAAGCUAAACACCACAAUUACCUUACAUUAACCAAUCCCCAAGUAACAAAACUCCUAAACUACAUCGUCUAUUCUCGAAUCAUAAAUCCAAUCACACGCUCCACUGCCCUCUACAGUUUUCAGAUUAACAAAAUUCAUAACCCAGAUUUCAAUCAAACACCGCAGCUGGGAUCUAACACCAGCAAUUUACAAGUCAACCCCCAUGAAUUCAUUACCAAAAUGAUUAAAUACACAUAUACAGGUCUUACGAUGUAAGCAAGAUGAACAUCAGGGUCGAUAUUCGGAUCGUAUUCAUUGAUUUGAGAAGAACAAGCCUCGCCUUCUUCAAGCUCGGAAUCGUCCAUCUCUCUCGCACCUCCUCCGAAUCCUAACCCUAGCCCCUUCCUCCCAUCCCUACCCCCCACAGAAAUCAUCCACACCCCAAAACCUACCUACCUUCUCUCAAAUCCUCCCUCAAUUGAAAACCCAAAGCUCCCUCCGAUCCAUUCGACCGGAAACUCCCACCGAUCAGUCAAAUUCAGAAAAAAAUAAAAAUAAAGACAGAAAUCGGAAGCAGAAAUAGUUUCUAAAAACCGCGAAGAAUUACGCAGGUGUUUUUAUUUUUGGACAAAAGGAAAAAAGUUGGGAGAGGAAUUUGAUGUGUUGUGUGCGCUUGAAAUUGAUUGAGCAGGAGUCCCUCCUUUUCUUUCUCUCUCUUUCUUUCUUCUUUCUCUCUGGUUUUUGGUGUUUACAGCAGGAGGCUGCUUUGGUUUUUUUUUUUUCCUUUCUGUUCAAGCAAAAUAUUAUAAUAAUUGAUUUCUGAUUGUUUAGGUGUCCAAAUAAGAUUAGGAGGAAGGAGCCGGGAUCUGACCGAGACACCGCCGUUUUGUUUCCCGUUACGGUCACGUAUUUAACUCUAUUUCUAUUUUGCCCUUUUUUUCCUUUUUUUUGUUGGAAUGGCUUUGUCCGGAAGAAUUGGAUGUAUUUAGAUGCUGCAUGGUGGGUGUUGCCACGCGCCUAGGUAAGUUUUAAAACAGUAGACCUUGUUUUAAAUGUCUAUUUAAAUUCAAAAGAAAAUAUUCAAAGAUUGUCUAUUGCAUGCGUGAUUAGUGUGUCUGCAAGAAGGUUGUUUUAUAACGGUUACGAUAUUAUGUUAUACUUUUUUUUUUUGAAAGGUGAUUUGACAUUCAAAUCAUAUCUACAUCUAACUAUCUAACGUUGAAUAUAAUAAAUAUUGUUUGACGUGAUUAACUUUAGACUUUUUUUUUAAUAUUGAAUAUGAUGGAUGAUGAUUCAAUUCAUAGUGUACAUUAAUAUUCGUCAAAUGCUCUAACUGUGCAUUUCAGUAUAGUGUGUCUAACCAUUCUUAACAUCUUCGUGAUUUAGACUCAAGUUAAAAGUUCUUCACUCGACACAAUGUAUCUUUGUUUUCAAUGAGUGUAUUUUAAUUUGCAUGUUAAAGUGUUGGCAAUUUUCUGUUACUUAUGUACAACGUAAAUGAAGUUGUUAAUAAAUUCUUAAAAACAAACACCGAACAAAGAAAAGAGUUAAGUCGUAAAUAAAGAACUAAGUUCAUGUAUAUUACCUUGUGUGAGAGCACCGGCGGAGCCAUAAAAUACACAAGGAGGGGGGGGGGGGGGGGGGGGGGUCAAUAUAGGAGAAUGUUAUAUUAAAUCUUCUAAGUUAGCUAGAUGUCAAACACAAGAUACAUAUAAAGCCAAGGUUUUAAAGGUUUUGAGAGGUGCCAUGACACCUCUUGGUCUAUGUUUAGCUCUGUUAGUGUGUGAGAAAGUUAGUAUCGUUGUUGGUAAAAAAACCCCCGCAUAAUAGGAUUUAGUAUGGAUGCACAUAUUAUUAUUAUAGUGUCAUUUAUAAUAAAUGUUAAACUCUAUAGAUGUGGUAAGACCGUACUUUAUCUAAGGUAGUUAAACUGAAUCAUAAAAUAAGAAUAAGAUAUAUAAAAGAAUAAAAUGAAUAUUAUUAUCAUGUACUAUGACCAUUUGAUCCCAAUCAUAAAAUGAAGUAUAAUUAUUUUAUAAAUAUCAUGUGUAAGCUUAUUACAAGCAGAAUAUUACAAACAGUCAAACAGAUGAAUGCAUCAUCAGUUCAAUACCAUUGGUUUGAUUCAAUUGUUUGGGAUAAUGGUAACUACUAAUAACCUCUCGGAAUAAGUAAAUUUUUUGGAGAGAUAAUUGGGUUAAUAUUUCCCGUCCUGGUAUAUCCGCGGCAGUGUGGUUCAGGACUCCUGGAAAGCGAGUGGGGGCAUACAGUCUUUGUGAAGCCACUUGUCAGUUGGCCAAUCCGACAUGUUCUUUAGUUAUACCUGGUCCACCUGGAUACAUGUGUUUCAUUUUCUCCACGAUAUAUUUACUUAUGAGAAAUUUUAAAUACACACAUUUAAUCUCUUAAUAUACAUUUUUAUUAUUUUAUAUUUUUAUUGAGAUUUUAUAAGUAAAUUAAAUGACCAAAACAGACAUCUAUUAUUUUUUUUUAUAAAAACUCUAUAAAUAUUCUUUUAAACGUUUUCUACCCUAAAAUCGUCGAAAGCAUGUCUUCUCUCCUAACCUCAACUCUUCUCCACAAUUCAUUUGGGUUGUCUUUUGUUUUUUUGUUUUUGUAUAUGUAUAAGCUUUAGUUUGAUCUUGCAUAUCAUAUUGUCGAGUACUGCAUCUUUAUCAUGACAUGUUUUAUCGAAUAACUAGUUAUCUAUGUUUAAUAGCGAUUGUACUUCUACAGCUCUACUAGCUUGUGAAUUUUGAAAACUUGUAUUGGUGAUUUGGAGUUGGGAUAUAACAAUAAUCAUUUGAUUAUAAAUUAAACGAUGAUAACCAAAAAUUUCUAACAAAAUUAGAUGAAAUAAUAUGUCAAAAGAGGUACCAAAUAAUAAAUAUACAUUAAUUAUAUUAAAUAAUGAAAUAUUUCAUAAUUAAGGGCAUUUUAGACAGUUUGAGAUGUGUAUUAAGUAUAAUAUUAAAAUGAAAAACUUGAUAGGUGGUGUAUUAAAUAAAUGGUGUGUAUUAAGAUAUUAGGGGUGUGUACUUAUUUAGAAGGCAACAAAAAAGAAGAAAAAAUUAUGGGGAAAGAAAAGGUGAAAUUAAUUGGUUAGGAUCAUCUGAUUAUCUAAUAAUAGUAAAGAUUAUGAGAGAUUUGUUCCCAAAAUCGUGAUUUGCUUAUGUUUAACUAUUUGACGAAUCAAGAACCGUAUUUAAUUGUAUUUAUAUAUGUACUUUGAGCUGUUAGUUUUUUUGAAAAUUCGAUUUUUUUAUUAUUAUUUUUUAUAUAUUAAUCGUACUGUAUGAGAGACCUUUAGAAAUAAUAAAAUACGAAUGACUCUAGCAAUAUAUAUCUCAUAUAACUUAUAAGCUUAGUUAUAAAAGCUUUAUUCAUUUUAUUCGGAAUAGAGAUUUGAGAAUGAGACAUGUGACUUUUCUAAUUUUAGUAAUGGGUCCAAUUCACGUAAUCAACCAUCUCAAGCUUGGUUACGCUCAACUAUCCUUGAAUUUAGAUUCACCGGUAAACCAAUUAAGAAAAUAUGUAAAUUUUAACUACUUUAUCUGUGAAAAUGACUUUCUAAUGCAAUAUAAUAUAAAUAUAAAUAAUAGAGGUAAAGUAUUUACUACUGAAAACAUUUACCGACUGUAAAUAUUAUGAGGGUAAAUCGCCCACCGUUUGGGCACAAACAAAGACAAAAGAGGGACUCGUGUUUGUUGUAGGGAACAAAAGUCAGAGGUUGACCCACGUGCGUAAUUAAUAUUAUGACGUGUCUGAAACCUUCUGUACUGUUUUUUUAUUUUACCCAAACAAGUCUUAACGAUAUUAGUGUGCAGUCAGUAUCUUUGUUAAUUUCUUCCCUUUUUUACUGGGCAAAGAAGAGGGCCUGAAUCUGAAUCAUUUAUCUUUACUACCCAAGAUGGAUAAAAGUAGUAAAUGAGAUUCAUGGUACAAUGCCAUGAAGGUGGAGCUAGAGCAGGUGUUUAAUUAAUGUAAAAUGAAUACAUGCAUGCAUUUGGUUUUGUUGUGAUGGUUUACAAGAUAUGAAGAUAUAAUUUCAUAAACAGAAAAACACUCAUGAAUCAUAAAGGUAAGUAAUAUUGUGAUCAACAUGAUAAAAAGUUUCAAUAAACUCCGUCAACUAUAAUAAUCCUCUGAGUAGGUGGAACAUACAUUAAUAUUAUUUAGAUCGAAUAUCUCACCCACAUUACAGGGUUGUAUAAACAAAAAAUGUUGUGUUUAACUUACUAAUAUAUGAAUAAACUAAAUUUCUAAAAGAGUAAUGAAAAAAUAAGGACCACUCAAUUGUAAAAGAGUGAGAAAAAGAAAGACAUUGCAUAUGACUUGAUUCUUCCUCCAUAUCUUAAGGAUUAGAUUUACAAAAAUUUAAUUGAUCCUUCAAAAAACCUAAUCUUUUUUCAAGAUUAUGUAAAUAUUGAAAAGUAAAGUCAAGUUUGGUAUUGAGUUUUGGGACAUAAAAUCAUUUAUAAUCACAAUUUUGAAUAUAUUUCACAUUUUGUAAAAUUUUAUGAGGUGCUUAUUUAAAUUUUUUUAGGCUAAAUAACCAUGAUUUUAAAAAGCAUGUUAGAGGUUGUUUUUUUUAAAUUAAGUUUGUUUUUAUUUAAAUUUUUUUUUAAAUUGAGUCUUCACAACAAUAUCAAACUAAGAGUAAGUAACAUAAAAUCUCUUGAUAUAGCUGUGAGCCUUCAAGACACUCCGUUAAAUACUUCAAUUCUUAUUUAAUAUAUAUAUAUAUAUAUACACGUUGUUAGUUUUUCAUAUAGUCUUAACCAGACAUGCAAAGAUUUUAUAGACCCAGAAUCUAGUUCCUUGACGCAUGUAAAAUGCACCAAUUAUGCAGUGCAACACAAUGUCUGGCCGCUUUUCUAACUUCGGGAAUCGAGCUUAAGUUGAGAGCACACUCAACUAGACAAAAAUCAUUAGACCACUUGCGGUGGUUAUACCGUAUAUAUUUGUCAGCUAAGCCUGGGUAGCUAAUUAAAAAAAUAUGGCUAAUUAAUGGUCCUUUUUUGAAAUCAAAACGGAGACCAUCAAUUAUUUACUUAACAAUCUAACAACAUAGUAAAAUAGUAUGACAUUAACGAUCGAUUAAAUUAACACGCAUGUACUAGUUCCGCUCCGUCAAGUAAUUGAAGGAAACUAAACCUGUACACUGAAUAACAUCAUGUGUGUUAAAUGAACGAAAUUAUUGCUACUACACUUUGAACUCAAACUCACACACAUAACACUCACAAAAAGAUUCACUCCCAAAACAGAAAAAAGCAGCGAGAAGAAGAAUGUGAAUCAUGAGAAACACGAGGUACGUCAAGUAGCCAUCAUCACGAGCAGCGUCUGGCGCCGUCUGCUCAUUCCGUACUAGAGAAUUCAAGGCAUCCAAUAUGUGUGGACUUGUUUCAUCCAUCCAAACAAUAUUAACCCCAAAAAAGCUCCAAGAGAUUAAGGACAUCCAGGUUCAUUGUGAGCACCCAGGUCACCAAUUAUUAUUCUAAUUCCUGUUUUUAUUCAUGGGUUUAAUAGUUGGAAUUAGAUAUUUGUAUUAUUAAGUGCCGUCAUGCAUUGUUUCUGGUAAUUAAUCAAUAAUAUUGGGGACCUACUAGCUUUGUCCCUCCAAGUUAUGACCAGAAUAUGCUCAGGUUUGUGCUGUAUUAUCUUGGCAUAUCUGUUCAUACUUUUACGGUUUACAAUACAGAUCAGCGAAAUGUAAAACCUAGGUACCCUUUUACUAAAUCCGAUCCAUGGUGAAAAAUGACAUCUUCUUAAAUAGUUUCGUUUUAACAAUGUUCUUUUUUUUUAUUAACGUAAAAGGCUUUUUAGACCCAAUGUCAAGAUUCAAGCCUAGAUUGAGAGUUACACCCAACUAAACGAGUACCACUAUACCACUCACAAUGGUUUCUUGUUAAAUAGUUAUUAUCACAGUUACACACCCAACAUUUGAUCCAGUUACUAGGGUAAGUAAAAAAGUGAAACGAAACAGUCAGCCAGAUGAUAUGAAUUGAAUUGUAACGAAAAUGUUAAAAGCCAUUACGAUAGUGAACGUGUUGUAUGUACGGAAGUCAUAUGAGAAUACGGUUAGGAUUCAACGAGAUUAGGAUUCCUAGUCCAAUCGAAUAAAAAAUGAGGAAUUUGAUUCUAAGAAUGACUCCUGCUGCAUCUUUGGACGAAUAAUGGUACAAGUGAAUGGGAUCGGAAGGACAAGUCUUUCUAUCUAUUUGUUCUAUUAAUUCUCAAAUUAUUAUGAUUAUUACUAUCUAUUUUUCUCUUAGUGGUACAUCCUACUAUGAAAAAGCUUCAUCAACAGACAACAGUUAAGCGAGUAUAAGAAGUGAUCUGUAAUUUGACCUCCUUAAUUGAGGAGAAAUCAUUUGGAAGAACCUUCAAACUGAUCUCGCAGCAGCUCAUACUUCCUAAGCUCGGCUGUGGAGAGUGAGGGCGAUAGCUCCUUUAAGACCUAAGAUUAUCGGGGACAAAGGCAGUCAGUAGAUGCACCAGAAACUGGAUUUAGAACAAUUCUUAUUUGUCUUGUAAAAGCACAACAGUACUUGUGAUUAACUCAGACACUUAAACACAGUUCAGAAAAAGACCGUCGUACCUUGACAAAAUCAUCAUAUUCAACAAUAACAGAGUCAGGUUGGUCAUCUAUGGAAGAGGAAUCUGAAUCUGAACUCAAAACCUGCAUGAAUGGCAAGAAGCACGUCAGAACAUCCCUUUAUCUAGUGAGUAUUAUAUGAUAAAAGCGUAAAGCUUAUGAACAUUGUAUCUUUAUAUAAUCCAGAAUAUUGUUGAGAAUGCAGGAGCAUCUAGUAUUCUGACUUUCUGAGUGUUGCAUCUUGAUUUGUACAAUCAUGGGUCUCUCCAGUACUGUAUAAUUGAUUGUCUACGACUCCAAUAUUAACAGAACUGUAUCAGUCUCUUUGCUUUACUAACCAGUUAAGCUCCACUCACCAAUGCAUUUCCUAUUUCAUAACUAUAAUUGAACACACCUCAAAAUCAAUCCACGUCCUUUAUCAAAUAUGAACUACCCCUCUACACCCUGAAUAUAUUGGACAGCUUACACCAAUACUUUUGGUUCAAUCAAAACCAACCAUAAGCUCUGGUGUUGACUAGACUCACCUUACGCUUAGCUGCACUAAACCAAGCAUCCGCACACAAGGCAUACAUGUCUGCACCAGUGAAGGUUGGUGGACAUUUCUUCGCUAUUGAAUAAAGUGAAACAUCUUCAUGUAACUUAAACUUUCGGGUAAGAGCUUUGAGAACCCUAUAUAAAAAAGGAAAGAAAAAGAAUCAUCAUACUGACAACAAAAUUAUUCAAUGAUGAACUUACGUAAAAACCAACCGUUCUCUGUAAGAUGGAUCAGACACAACUCCAACAUAAAGCAACUUAUCAAACCGGCCAGGCCGUAGAAGUGCUGGGUCAAUUAGAUCUGGUCUGUUACUUGCUCCAAUUAUAAACAAGUCCUACAUUAAACCAAACAAGGCUUUUCUGUCUUAGUUGAGGAUAGCAAAAUACCCUGUGAGAUAUUGGAAAAAAGAAAAAGAAAAAUAACAAGCAAGAGACAGAGCAAACACCUGAGUUGAAUCAUUUAGGCCAUCAAUCUCUGCAAGCAUCUAGUGGAACAGAAAGUCACAGUCAGUAUCAAGGAAUAAAUGCAAAUUUUCCCAGUCAUAAAGAAGGAUGCUUCACCUGAGAAACCACUCUGUCCAUGACACCCCCAGAAUCCCCAGAUGCACCUCGGGCUGGAGCAAGGGAAUCAAGUUCAUCAAAAAAUAUAACACAUGGGCGUGCUGAUCUAGCCUGCAAAGCAUGUGCAAUACUGCUCUAGUGUGAGCCAAAAUAGAUGUUCUGAAAUUCAAGUAGAUAAACAACAAUAAACUUCUUCCAAAAGGCUAAUGAUCAAGCUGGAAUGUUUUACCUUCUGGAAAAUGUCUCUGAUAUUCUUUUCUGACUCUCCUAUGUACAUAUUAAUGAGUUCAGGUCCUUUUACACUGAGAAAAUUUAGGGAGCACUCAGUUGCAACAGCUUUUGCCAGCAGAGUCUGAGGGUUGAAGUCAGAAAAACAAAUGAGUUUAACAAAUCUCUUGGGGUAAAUGAGAGGGAAAAUAGAGAAAACCUUAGAGGAGUAACUGUAACUUACUUUCCCUGUUCCCGGUGGACCAUACAGUAGAACACCAGAACGCUUUCGUAAGCCAGAUGAAAACAAGUCCUUGUGCAGAAGAGGUAACUAGAACAAACAACAAAGAAGAAUUGAGUUGAUAAAGCGUUCCAAAUUCCAAAUUGCUGGAAUCUUCCUGGUGGACAACAGGUAAAAAGUGUAGAUACAACAGACCUACCUGUACAGUAUCCAGGAUUGAUUUCUUCACAUCCUCAAGACCACCAACAUCUUCCCAUUUGACGUUAGGAACCUAUAGAGAAUAUGAUUUAAAUUGCAUUAGAUGUCCUAUAAGUAUACUACUUCCACGUUUGUUGCAAUAUAAAACUCAUUUUUUAGCCCCACAGAAGAGGACACACUUAGACAUCACCCAAUACAGAGAGCUUGAUAGGAAAGGACAAUAUAUCAUUCCUCGAAAUUAGUCUUGUCUCUCAAUUACCUUUGGAGUACCAAGGGCUGAUGCAUUCCUUUUCUUUGAUCUGUCCAAUGCUUUUGUCAAGCUUUCUUUUCCCAGAAUCGGAGAUGUGACUUCACAGGACUUACUGUCUGAUUCGACAUAAUCUUUGAGAGAAGCAUCUGAUUCUUCAGACUUCACUGUGUCAAUCUGAGCAUUGCCUUUUGGAAUCAAGUUUGCACCAGCAUCAGCAACCAAUGCACAGAUAUCUCUGGGCAUGAAACCAGAUGUCUGUGCAACUAUAUCCUUUAUAAGAUCCUCCGAAUCAGUCUGCAAAAAAACAAUUCUGAUCCUUUUAAGUCACGAGAUGAUCAAAAGAAACUACAAUUAAUACCAUGUAGAAUACAAAGGCGUACAGAACUUGUUUAUGGACUUCAAGAUUCACAUUCAGUUAAAAUCUGAAAAGUGACAGAUGGAGAGUUUACCAUUUGACAACACUGCAUUAGGCAUUACAUAUAAUUAUAUAAAAAAUUGCUACCCGAAGACAUAUUUAAGCGAUGUCAAUACUUGGUGCGACCAUGAUAAUUUUUUAACCACACCAUAGGAAUGCGGCAAACCAUCAAAUUGGGGGGGGGGGGGGGGAACGGUGGUGGAUAUAACACUUGUUUUGGUCAUACCCAACCAUCGAAAGCCAGAGGAAAAAAAGUAUUUAAGCAUCAGAAUCACGGUAUCAUCAAGGGAGAUCUUGACUGAAAAUUAUUAUACCCAAUCAAUAUAGAUGCUGAGCCCCAGUGCUUGACAGGAGCUCAGAUGAGAACAGGUGUCAGAUAAAAAACAAUUCUUGGCCCACCAGGUAGCAGCUUAGGCUUUUGAAAUCAAUAGCAAACCAACAAAACGUAUGCAUCAUAAUCAUAUUUAUAAUAGACUGCACACAUAAAAGGUUAGGAUUUUCCAACAAAACUUAUGCAUGAUAUACUUCUAAUAGAAAACACAUAUAAAAGGUAAAGAGAAACCAAACAUAUUUUUUACAUACAUUAGAAAGGAAUUCGGAAGCCUUCUGCAAAGACUCUGAGACCAUUUUAACCCUUUGUUCUUCAGUCAAUGGACCCAUACUUAUUUCAUGGCUAAAGCAACGUCUAAUAGUUGGCGGUAGACCUUCUGAACUGUCAGCAGCUGCAAUUAACAGCACUUGAUGCCUACCUACUUUCCCAGAAUCCUGCAUGCAGUGUAGUAUUAUUAGGUUGGUCAGAUUAGAAAACAAAAAACAACAUAGCAAUCAACAAAAGAGGAGAAGUCACACAUGAAAAAUGAGUGAGGACUAGAAUUUACAUCAACUAAUGAUCAUUUCUCAGAACCGAAAUUAAUUAAUCAUACAUAAGAAUAACCCAAGACACAAAAUAUGGCACUAAAGCCAUGUACUUACAGUAUGACCAUUUUGUUUUUGUUCCAUAUCUCCAGAAUCAAAAAUUGGCUCAGUGAAUUCCCUUAUAAGUGAUGCAACUUCAGAAGUGAUGCCAACUUGAUCAUUUGGUGAACCUUCUUGCAAAUUCCGGAAAACAUCAAAAUGGCGGAGAAGAAGUAUAGUUGGCGAGUAUCUGAAAGAACAUUGCAUAAGAACGAACUGGAACAACCAUUGAAAGUAGGAAACUUAGGUGCAACAAAAUUGAAGGAUAUGGCAGAGAAAGUUCUCCCAUCAAAUGAUAUAAUGGAGAAGGAUAAAAUAAGGAUAGAGUAGUAUGACUGUUUUCUCAUAUAUCAUCGAAGAAAAGUUGUAUAGCUAAUUAGUGAAACAAUAGGUAACAAUAACUGCUGCUGUCAAGCAUAUAUCAUAAAAAUGCAGUAGUAACAGAGGAAAUUUGGGACCUCUAGCAUGUAUCAUACUCAAAAAAUGCAUUGCUUUACCUUUGAGCAGCAUUCAAGGUUUGGGCUAGUGCAACAGAAAUCUUUUUUUCAGAUGACGUCGUCAGAUUAUGACAGCUAUAUUCAACUACAUGCAGGCCCAAUCGACGAGCAACAUAUCUAAUAACCGUUCUCUUCCCACAUCCUGCACCAAGCAUCAAAUAACUACUCAAUGACACUAAACUCAUGUGCGCAUGAAACAUACAACUUAGGCAACUCAUCCAGGGUAAUCAUUCUUUUCCAUAAGUGGUAAUAGGUUAAAGAACUAUAUUACAUAUUGAAUGCUUAAUCCCAAGGGAUCUUGUUAGAGAGUAGAGACCUUGCGAAAUUAAAUAUAAAUGCAACCAUCAAGUGUUCAUGACAAAAAGGAAAGCUUCAAUAUACCUGCCAAUCCAUACAAUAGGACAGAAACUCUGAAUUUUGAGGAUAGUGCUGAGGGGCACAGAAGCGGAGUAAGUAUGGAGGCCAACAUUUUCACUGUGUCCCCUUGCAAAGGUACAAAACCUUUUUGUCCAGCAAUCAAUAAAUCAGGGGGCACAGCAGAAGAGACGCUUCCUCCAAGCACAAGGGCAGUUUGAGAACGGUUAACUCGGAGAAUUGGUUUGUCCAAAGGUUCCAUAGCCACAACCUAAGACAACAAAUGACACGGUGAUUGUCAUUAUCACAUUUGUUGACUAGAAAUUGCAACUGAUGAAAAGCACUGAGAAUUCACCUUGAAAUAGAUAGUGUUAUCAACCCCAUUUUCCAAACUUUGGUCGCAAGGAACGCAAACCAUUGACUUGCAAUUCCACUUUAUACAAACACUGAAAACAUCACCUCUUGCUAGAUACCUAUCAACCUCAAAGUAGCUAUGCAGUGCCGAAUCUAUCAUUUCUUGACGAUCUUCAUGUUCAACAGCCGAAUUCCCUCUAAGAGAGUCAAGACUACCACAUUCCGGUACCUUCACAAACGAAGCCCUCAAGUGCGAAGCAUAUCUCGGCAACUCCAAAUGCGGCUGUAUCCCAAUCACAGAACCCCCAAUCCCUUUCCCACUCGCCUCAUCAUCCACCCCAUCCCCAAAAUAAGACGCCAACGCCGCUUCCCCUCUGUGAACAAGCGAUUUCAAGCACAAUGUAUGCAAGUCAAUGUUAAACGCCAACAUAGGCGACAUAUACGCAACUUCCUGAUCUAACAACAUGUGGCCAUUUCCAGGCAAAGUGCAACAAGGCAGAACAAGCAUUGCGUGGGAAGACUGGCCAGCAGAUAGUUCAGUGUUCUCGGAGCGGUCCGGUGGAUCCACAACAAUGACCUGAGCAAUUCUUUGUAUGUUUGUCUCCAUAUUCUUCACAAGCACCUUGUUUAUACAAAUCAAAAUCAAAGGAAAAAAAAAAACACUAAAGCAUCAAUUACUUGCUGUGCAGAAUUUUCCACAUGAAAUUAACGCUAAAAUUGAAGUAAUUAAAGAAAUUACAGCUCCUCCUACAAUUGAAAUCCGAAGAAUUAAAGAGUAAAUUUAGCAGAGAGAAAAGAGUAGAUGGAUUUGGAUACCAGGGAGCCGGAGGUGAUGUAGAGGCGUUUGAGGAGAGAAGUGGAGAGGCCGACGAGAGCAGAGUCGUCGAGAGAAGCCGAUUUGGGGCUCCGGUCGACGUAGAAUCGGAGAAUUCCCGGCGGAAGCAGCUGGAAGCUGGUGGUGACGUCAUCGGAGGCGGAGAGUGGGUGAUCGUCGCCGGAGGUGAGGCCUCCCGGCGGGGAAGAGAGUAGGGAUUUGAUGAGAGUUUUAGUGGAAGUGAGUACUAGUGGCUUCCUCCUCCCCACCAUUGGAAACUAGUGAGCUCUCUCUCUCUCUCUCUCUCUUUGGGGAACAAGUUCAAAUUUAGUUGCAUAGUAGUAUUUAUAUGAAGGUAGAGAGAGAGAGGUGGGUUGGAUUAGAGUGAGGAGCGCAUUUCGAUAGAAAGUAAAAAGGGACAAAAAAGUUAAAAAUGGAGAUGCGGGGUAUCGAUCCCCGUACCUCUCGCAUGCUAAGCGAGCGCUCUACCAUCUGAGCUACAUCCCCAACUUGACAGCUCCGGGAUUAUGCGGAUUAUUAACCUUCAUAAAGAAAAGAAAUGUGAAUUAUGAGUGAUAAAAUAUUGUGUGGCAAAAGUUUUAGUGUUUCAAAGUAAUGAAAUUCUAGAGUCCAAUAAAGAAUGUUGUUUUACGAUUGUAAGAAUUCAGUUGUACCAACUUUUCUUUCAUAUAGAAAGAGGUAGCGGAAGCUUUGUGAUUACAAAACAACUCUUAACAUGGUAUAAGGAAAGGUUGUUGUGUUGGAAGACGGACAACCUUAGCUUCUAUGCGUGCCUGAUUUGGAGGAAAGAAUCUUGCAAGAUAUGGAUAUAGACUUGUGCAAUCUCUAUGAAUGUAGACCCAUCAAUAAACCAGGUAGCACAAACAGCUCUUCAACUAAGCUCAAGUCCUCAUCUCCAUAGCUACCUACUCAUCCAUACAAGGCAGCUUGUGCAAUCAAGUCCAAUGACCUUUUUCAAUGACUAUACAAAACUGUUUGCCUGUCUCUCUCUCUCUCCCUAAUAUGUCUUCAAUCUGAUAGAAACAACCAGCUGGGAGAAACAAAAUGAACAAAGUUUCAAUUCCACAUAGAAGAUUGAUCAAUGAUGGAGCUUUUCACAAUAUAUUUAUUGACAGAUCCACAAAACCAACAGUGUUGAACUGUUGAUUAAGUUGCACAACUGCAGAUUUAUGCAUCAGAGCCUUAAAUAGUUAAAGCAUGUGAUCGGGUGCAUGUAGGUGCCCUUAUAAUUACUUCUGCAAUUUUCAAGCCGGCCUGUUGGCUUAACAGGCCUAUCAAAGCAGCAAGGAAAGUGUGCAUAUGAUGUGCGCUCUGAUCCUCCAGUUCUCUCCGAAGCAGGCUGCUGCUGCAUGUUUAGUUUGCUCUUCAACCAACCUCAACCCAGUAGCCAGCAAUAUAGAGUUGCUACUGCAUUAAAUCUACUAAUGACUGUUUCUAAUGAAACUAGAGAAGAAACAUGUAAAUAUCUCUUACAUUAAUGUUAUCUACUAGGUUCAGUAUCAGCUAAGCUAAUUUUUCAUUCCUCCAAUGCAAACUGAUUUCGUUUACCUUCAUCUUCUUCGACCAUUAUAGAGUAACCCUAAAGCUCUGGAAUCAAGAUCAAAGGAUGAUCCAUAGCACCACACCAGGGUUGUUGGUUCUUAAACCAGUUUAAGUAGAUAACUGGAUAGAGACGAACCGAGUCUCUAAUGAAACCAAUAAGAGAAUGAUAACUGCAGCAACUAUAGUUUAGCUUUUCACAUUUUUGACAAACCAUAAAACCAGUAAGAGCCACAACAGAGCACAUUCCAUUGCUGCCGAUCAAAUACCUAAUUGUUAAUGCCAAUUUGAUGUAACAGGACAUGAUAAAUAAGACAGUGAUUCCCUUAAAGGAACAGCUAUUUUGUAGACACUAGUUGACAAACCUCUUUCAAAUCACCACUAGGCUUCUUCACAAACUUUCUUGCAGCACCUCCAGAUUCAAAGCUACCCCCCCAGAAAUGUUGCAGCGUCACCAAGAUCAUACAUCCUGCACAUAUACUUUGCCUUGGUAUACAUCCAACAAUUGAGGUACUUGGUCGAGAUAUCUGGUGACAAACCUACUAAAGAAGCACUCCUCUGAAGGCACAAACACAUAAGACAAACUCAACUUCUUCUCUUCUAUCAGUCCUUUCAACAACAAAACUCUAACAACCGAACACCGAGGGAUGAUUCUCUUCUCCAAGCUGUACACAAAAACAUACGGAACCUCCGCAAUUUUUCCUGAUUCCCAUCCCAUCUUGUUCACUAAGAAAUCCAUUGUCACCAUUAUUUUCUUCUCAGACACCAUCAUACACAGUGGAUGCCUCUUGAAGGCAGAAAGAAUAUCAUUAUCCGACCAACCCCACCUCCUAUAAGCCUCUUCCUUAUGUCUCCAUGUUGUUUUCUUCCAGGAUAAUACGACCAUGGCUUGCACAAAGUUCACAUUUCCCGGGUCAAAUCCCAUUUCUGCGACUUGGCGGACUAAUUGACUGAAGAAUUCAGGCUUUCUCGUCACAGUCUUACUAAAACAUGCUACCAACCGCGCAAGAGCCGAGUGGGGCAUGCCCAACUCUGUAACAAGUCUAAUAUUGGGUUUAACAUUCUUGGAUAGAUUUUCCAAGAAAAUGGAUGAGUUCUGUUUUAGAGUACGAACGACCUUGACAUCAGAGAUCACCACGCUUUUGAGGAAGUUAUAACAGGGUAUAAGACUGUUUUCCAAGCUUCGCGUCAAUAGAUUUGGGUUGUAAGUCAUUAUUUUUGCAAGGUCGAGCCUUGACAUCCCUAUGGAGCAGAAAAACUCAAGCUUUGGCAAAAGGGUCUUCUUCGCAUUGGCUAAGAUAAGUUGCGGGCGUCUCCGCACAAGAGUUGAGAUCUGGGUAUCUGAGAAUUCAUACUCUCUCAAAAGGGCUAGAACGGAGUUUGGUUGCUCUAAAGAUCGAAGCUGUACCUUGUGGGCUGCUAGAGUAGCGGCUUUUGGGGACAACCCACAUGAGCGAAUGAGGUAAGAGAGUGUAGGAUUGUCUUGGGCUGCUGGGAUUAUCGAGCUGCUGAUGAACCUUCGACCAAAAUGAGAAGCAGCUACUGCAAAUGCUUGAUUUCUGUACAGAAGACUUGAAAACAUUGGGUGUGCGGAUCCGAGGCUCUUGCCGAAAAUGUAGAAGAGUGCCAUGCUCCACUCAUUACUUCAUUAGAGAGAAUUGGAGUAUUGGAGAUGGCCAAUUUUGGGUUCCCAAUUCAAAACGCACUAGGGUUUUGGUUCUCCCAAAUGAACCUCAUCUACUGUCGUCUUUUGCUUUUCCCACUUACUCUUGAAAUGUUGAGAGAGUGAAUAUAAUCUAUAAAUAUAUAGAGGGACUAAUUUAGCCCUCAAAGUUUUACAGAUGUAAAUAACGAGGUGGCAUACUUUCAGUCGAGAUCACAAAUUUAUAUAAUGCCGUUUUGAUUUUUUCAAAACAUAAGACACCUAAAUUACGAGUAGGUCAUUUAUCGUGUACAAUUGUUAAAAAAUUUCCGCACAAAUAAUGUAUUGUUGAUCUCAGCUGCGACAUCAAGUGAGGGGUGAGAUGAAGCUACUCUGCUCACUUUUGACAUCUGCUCACUGAUCUACUCUGCAUCACUGAUCUGCAUAUAGGAUUUAGUAAAGUUAAUAUGAACAUUCUAGUUUUCUAAUUCUGGAUAUAGCUCAUGAUGUUAUGAUCAUUUUUGUGCUUAGUCUAAAACUUGUCAUUUCGAUAAUGUUUGAUACUAGGGAGUAUUAUAAAGCCGAAAAAGGAAAAAAGAGACCAGGGGUAGCUCAGGAAUUCGAGGAAAGUUGAUCAACUAUAUAAAUGAAACAUUAUUUACAGAAGAUUUCCACUUCCAGCUACAUUCCUCCUGAUUGUGCAUUCAAAUUGAAGUAGAUGAAUAAAUCGAUCUAGAGAGUGUGAUUAGUGAGCCACAGAGAGGCAGAAACUAUAAACUAAUGAGUUUCAAUUGAGUUUUUCACAAUAUUGACAGACCUCAAAAACUAAGCAGUGAUAACAUAGAUGACAUUCAAUUUCUGCGCAUCAAAUAUCUCAUUGUUCAUAACGAAUUCAGGUAACAAGACUCAGACCGAUUACAAACAGUUGGUGUUCUCGUAAUCAAAACAAGUAAAAUCAAGGCUGAGGGAACACAUGAGAAACCUGUUUCUGUUCUCGUAAUCAAACAAGUAAAAUCAAGGGUGAGGGAACAUAUGAGAAACCUGUUUCUUAUCCAGACUUGGGAGGCUAAUUCAGUUUUCUCUGGUAAUGCCUCUGAGAUGUGACACUAUCAGCCUAGCAACUAUGUUACCUUGUCCACUUCCAGUUUGCCAUGGUACACAUUCAACAAUUCGGGUACACUGUCGAGAAAUCUGGUAACAAAGUUACUCAAGAAGUACUUGUCUGGCACCCUUAUAACAGUAGCCAAACUCAAGUUGUCCUCCUUGAUCAAUCCUUUCAGAAGCAAAACUUUAACAACCGAACACCUUGGUAUGAUUCUCUUCUCCAAGCUGUAGCAUAAAACAUGGGGAUAUUUUGCAAUCUUGUGGGAAUGCCAACCCAUCUUGUUCACUAAGAAAUCCAUUGUUUCCAUUAUUUUCUUCUCAGACUUGGUCAUGCAUGGUGGAAACAACUUAAAAGGCAGAAAGAAUAUCAUUAUCAGACCAAUCCCAACUCCUAUAAGCCUGUUGACAUCGUUUCCAUGUCGUCCCUUUUAAAGAUAAUGCCUGCAUAGCUUGCACAAAGCUUGACUUGUGAGGGUCAAAUCCCAAUUGUUGGACUUCACCCACAAGUUGACUGUACAAAUCAGGCUUCCUCAUCACACUAUGAGCAUAAUAUGUUAGCAACAAAGCAAUACAUGAUUCCGACAUGCCCAAUUCUCUCAGAAUCUGAGUAUUGGGUAUCACAUUCUUGGAGAGAUUUGCUCUGAAAAUCCAUGAGCUCUGCUUCCAAAUAUUGACGACCUUGACAUCAGAGACCACCACGCUUUUGAGGAAGUUAUAACAGGGUACAAUAAAGUUUUCCAAGCUUCGGUCAAAGAGCAUCGAGUUGUAGGUCGGUGUUUUUGCGAGGUCGAGCCUUGAGAUUCCUAUGGAGCAGAAAAACUCAAAGCUUUGGCAAAAGGGUUUUCUGGGUAUCGGUCAUCAGAAUACGUGGGUGUUUCCGCACCAGAGUUGAGAUUUGGGUAUCUGAGAAUUCAUACUGUCUCAAAAGGGCUAAAACAGAGUCUGGUUUCUCUAAAGAUUGAAGCUUUACCUUGUGAGAUGCUUUAAUGGCGGCUUCUGGGGAGAGAGACCACAAGAGUUGACCAGGUAAGAGACCGUGAAAUCGUCGGUCAGUGUUGUUGUACAAAACCACUGACUUUGAAGUCCUUCGAACGGGAUGCGAUAUCUGCAAAACAGACGUGAAAAUGGGUAUGACAGGGUCUUGCUGCAAAUGUAGUCGUGUGCCAUUGGAAUUUGCAACACCGAUUAGAGGGAUGGGAGGAGUCCCAAUUUCACUGCACUCUAGGCAUUUUAUUUUUUAUUUUUAAACAGAGAUGGAAAGGUUUUAAUUUUUUUUUUCACUGUUGAGAAAACAUUGAGCUUUUUAAUUUGUAUGAUACCUGAACUAUGGAACUAAUGUCUAUUGCAUUAUGGUUAUAGUUCAGGUACCAUAUAUGAGGAUUUUUCCUACAAACAUUGAGCUUUUCACAUAAUUGACCACAAAACCAAUGAGCUUUUCACAGUUUUGGUAUAGAAUGAGAGAAAUUCAUACAUCAGCUAUAUCACAUCCAACAAUUGAGGUACUUGGCCUGAGAUAUCUGUUCACAAAACCUAUCCGAAAAGUACUUCUCCUAGACAAUAUGGGAGAAUUGCACAGAACUGGCUUUCAAAAUCCUAGAGUUUAGCAUAUUAUAAACAGCAGAACCCCAAAUUUCUAAUCCGUUCUCCUGUACUUCUAGCUCCAGCACUCGGAUCAUGAACAUGUUCCAGUUUUCCUUGUCCAGGUCAAGGUCGUCACCAGCAUAUCCUUGUAUGAUUCAACUUCACCAAUAACUAUGUCAGUAGACAAUUUUCAUGAGCAAGUUACACAUAAGUAUUACAUGCCUUUGAAGUAGACGAAUGCCCAAAUGCUCAACACACUCUAUGACCAAACAAGGGUCAUUCCUUUGGGGUGCGUUUUGUAGCUCAUGCAUCUUAUGUACAAUGAAAGCAAGAUGUUGGUGCUAACUGUUUACGUAGUACACUCCUGAAUCGCAUGAUCAACCUAUGUCUUCCAGUUCUGGUCAGCCUUGCCUUCGACGUGGAAGCUUUCCUUCUCAACUGAACUGAACUACUCAACUCAUGUAAAUCUGAUCCUGAUGGGUGCUGUGUUGAAUUGAAUGUAAACCCUAAACCAAAUUCAAUAAUUCAAUAUUCACUUCAUGUGUGUAUAUAUGUUGCACUGUAAUCAUUAUUUUCAAUGAUUAUGAUAAAAAUGGGUUGGAAAUUGAUGCUUUAGUUUCUUCUUCCCUGUCUUCUAUAGACCAUUUGCAUGCCUUAUUCUUUUAUAUUUGAUAUUGGUAAAUAAAACAUGUCUUGUCUAACAGUGUUUUAGAUACCACUCGCGUGUUGCUGCGGGGUAGGAUUUCUUGAUGAUGACCAAUAUUCAAUCCUCAUUUCACGCCUCCUAUGCCAUCACCUUUUCUAAAUCUACCGCUGAUUCUCCCGUCUUUCCCUAAUUUUUCACAAACACAUCCAUCUUUCCCAAAUCCACCACCAACAUCAUGGCCUCAUGCCUGCAAAAUCCACCGCUCAUCUCCAAUUCUACCACCUCCUAUUCCGCCACCUGCACAAAAUUCACCAUCAACCCCAUAGCCUCUACCAUCAUUUUUUAAUUCCACCACCAUACCAUAGCUUUUCCCUUGCCAAAACCCACCAUGGACAGCUCUGAUCCUAUGCCCACAACCAAGUAAAAAAUAGAAAAUAAAGAAGUAACAAAUUUUCAAGGACACAAACGUCUUUUUGAUCAGAAAAAUUGAACAUUUGCAAAUAAAUUUGUAUUAAGAGGUAACACAGUCUUUUUAGUCAGUAUAAUGGUAGAUUUGUAAAUAAAUUACAUUAAAGGGUAAAAAAGAUAAGGGGCAAAAACACAAUUCACCAGAACUUGAGGGCAAAAACACAAUUCAUCAAAGAUAUAAACAGUGUUUUUCCCCUUGUUGUUUUAUUUUAUAGAAUGUUGAUGAGUGAUGACCCAAAACUCUCAAGUCAUCUACGGCCAACACAAAAGUGAAAUGAAAACAGUAGAGCCAUCUCAGACCUUAAGUCUUCUCUAUGAACUUAGACUUGAACUUUAAAAGAGCACAUAACAGCAGAUGAAGCAAUCUAACUAAAUGAUCAUGGGUAAGGUGGUGCUGGGUCAAUAUUUUUGAAUAGCUCAACCUUUAUAUGGUUUGAAGAGCAGCCUGUACCUGAUGAACACCAACAGAACUCAGAGACCCCUCACGUUUUACAUAUUAGAAAAACCAAAUUCCUUCAUGUGGCAAUGUGACAUGAAGCAAUAGACAAUGUGACAUUGCCUGAUAGGUUCAUACAACCAGUUCAAUAAGCACUCGAGAUGAUGCAAGUAUAAAGUAAUGAUUCUUGAUCAAGAUAUUUUAAGGAACAGAAAAUCAAUGCGAGAUAAAACAGGACACUUACCAUUAACUGAGAACCUCUUCAAAAAUUCCACUCCUUCCAUUUCUUCUAGAAGAGCCUCAGAGUUCAAGACUAUAAAUCCAAUUUACAGUGUCAUCAAGAACAUACAUUCUGCACAUACGCUUUGCCUUGGUACACAUCCAACAGUUGAGGUACUCGGCUGAGAUAUCUGUUCACAAACCUAUCCAAGAAGUACUCCUCCAACCUCGAAAGAACAUUAGCCAAAUUCAACUUCUCCUCCCCUAUCAAUCCUUUCAAAACCAAAACUCUAACUGAAAACCUCGGGAUGAUUCUCUUCUCCAAGCUGUAAAAAAAUCUCCAAGCUGUAAGAAAAAACAUGGGGAUAUUUUGCAAUCGUGUGGGAAUCCCACCCCAUCUUUUUCACUAGGAAAUCCAUUGUGUCCAUUGGUUUCUUCUCUGACAACAUCAUACACAGCGGAUACGCCCUGAAGGCAGAAACACAAUGAUCCUCAGACCAACCCCACCUCCUAUAAGCCUCUCGACAUCGUUUCCAUGUCUCUUUUGCAGCCAAUACAUUCAUGGCUUGCACAAAACUUGUCUUCUGAGGGUCAAAUCCCAUUUCCUUGACCUCACCCACAAGUUGGCUGAACAAUUCAGGCUUUCUCGUCACGAUACCAGCAUAAUCUGUCAGCGACAAAGCAAUACACGACCCGGGCAUGCCCAAUUCUCUCACAAACUCACUAUUCGGCACUACUUUCUUGGAUAAGUUACUUGCGAAAAUAUAUGAGCUGCGCUUCCAAGCACUGACGACCUUGACAUCAGAGACCACAACGCUUUUAAGCAUGUUAUAACAGGGUACAAUAAAGUUUUCCAAGCUUCGCAUCAAAAUAACUGGGUUGGAGGUCAGUACUCCUGCAAGGUCGAGCCUUGAGAUUCCUAUGGAGCUGAAAAACUCAAGCUUUGGCAAAAGGGUUUUCUGGGCAUUGGCGACCAGAAUAUAUGGGUGUCUACACACAAGAGCUGAGAUCUGGGUAUCUGAGAAUCCAUAGAGUUUCAAAAGCGCUAAAACGGAAUUUGGUUUCUCUAAAGAUUGAAGCUUUACCUUGGGGGAUACUAGAGUAGCGGAUUCUGGGGGCAAUCCACACGAGCGAACCAGGUAAGAGACUGUACAAUCGUCUUGGACGGGUCUGGUACAAAACAGCUGCUUCUGAAGACCAAACUGUGAAUCCAAUCCCUCCACUGGGUGCUCAUAGUUUCUAAACACACGAGCUGAUCUGAAGACCCUUUUGAAAAUGGAGAAGGCGGCCAUACUGAUACCCUACUGUUUCAGAGUGAGGAGAUUGUUAAUCCCCCGUUUGGGAACUCUUCUAUUAAAUAAGAUUUUGGAACCCUUUCAAGUAGUGCAGCAUACCCAUUGCCAGUAACAUUGUGACAAAACACAACAAGGUUAAUACUUUGCAGUUUGCCGUUCGUCUUGGAACUUAGACUCAAAACAUUCAACUCCUUUUAACUCGUUUCUUGUUGAUACAACGUAUAGGUGCCUCUGAUAAGAAAAAGAAACAAAAAGACGUGUAUACCGAGAACCUGUAUCUUCUAUAUAUAAACUUACUAGUGCAAUAUCCGAACGAACAGAAACCUAUUUAGUAUCCUCAUCAGAAUUCUCUACUCGAAUCCAACUCAAGCAGGAUGGACUAAUUUCUGGGAGAGAAGAGCCUGCAGGGAUCCAGCCUCAGCUACAGGCGGACUGCAAGUAAAGUUUUGGCAGACAAGAGCAACCACUUUGUCUGCGGCAAAAUGACUCUUUGCCAUCAGAGCGAUGUUGCUGUUUUUGUCUUCCCAGAAUUGCAUCUCUUCUGAAUUUGUUGGAUCUAUGUGAAUAACCUGUCAUUGGUUGCACAACAAAGUGGUGUUUACUAAAGAAGAUCAUAAGAUAUUCCAGAAAAACUGCAGCGUUACAACUUGCAUAAGUUCACUACUCACUGUUUUGUUGGUAUCAUAUGACGCAUGAGCUGCAGCCAGCAUGGUCUCAAACUCAUCACUUCUCUGGCCAACCAAGACAACUUGCUUCCGAGAAGGGGCAGUGAGCAUGUCAGAGGCACAACACAUUAAGGGUACUGCCAUGGCCAUGUCCUUUAAUCUCUUCUCAAAGACCGCCUGUCAACAGAACAGAAAAUGAAAGGCUCAAUAGAGAUAUAUUCCUGGAUAGUGAAUUUGUAAGAUCAGAAUUUUGGUUUACGAACCAGAACAUGUUCAGCUUCCUGUCUGUAAUGCUCAGACUUGUUGCCAGAUAGUAAGGAUGCCAGUCUCACAAGGUUGAUCACAGAAACCGAGUUUCCGGAGGGCUCUGCCCCGUCAUGAUCUUCCUUCACACGAAGGAGAACAUUGGGGUCAUCACCUGGGGUAUUGAAAUAGCCGCCUCCCUCUUUAUCAAGAAAUAUUUCAUCCUGGAAAAUAUGUCAAACAAACUCGCAUCAAGUCUAGGGAAGAAGGUGAAAACUACAAGACUUAGAGAUGGCGGAUAAUAUUUCUUGCCUGCAUUUCUUGCAGUUCAAUUGCCCAAACUAGCCAGCUGGUUUGACCACCAAAUUCAUAAAGAUCCAAUAAUCCUGAAAUAAGAAAAGCGUAAUCAUCUAAAAAUCCAGGUGCUUUAGAUGGGCCGUUCCUGAAGCUGCGUUGCAGUCUAUGAGAAUGCUCAUUGUAAAGGUGUCGCCUGAUAAAAGAUGCUGCCUUUUCUGCAACUUCAACGUACUCCCGUGGCUGACAUAUUUGUGAUGUAACACAUCAGAACAAUCAGUGAAGUAAAAAGAUGUCCACCGAUGUGACUAUCAUGGUUAACCUUACAGGCCCCCUGCCCUACGAACUGAUAAUUAUUACAUUACAUCUAAAAUGGAAAACAUUAAUUAUUAAGAAAAUGUUUUACUAAAAGAGAUUACGCCGUGAAUGUAACACUCAAAACUUCAAAACUAGUACACAAGUCCAAUUUCCCAUAAAUGAAAACGAAUUCAACACUAGGCAUUUUCCAAAACCACCAAACCUUCUUUUCCACGUAUAUUAACAACUCGUAUGACUACUAAUAAAGUGAAAGUCAGUGAAGGCUUACAUCGCAACCAACAACAGGGAAGUUAAAUUUGAUCUCCUUGGGUUCAUUCUUCAGAAUUUUAGAAGCUCUUGCAAAGGCUGAGAUGGCCAGUCCAUUCCAUGCUACAAUUACCUGGCAAAAUCUGAUUUAUCAAUUUCUGGGUGACAGAUAAAAAGAAAAGGAUAACAGAAUGAGGUGAAUCCUACGAAAAUUUGAAUUGAGAGAGUAACACCUUGUCAUCCAAAUGUGGUCUCGGUCGACUACAUCUUAUUUCAAACAGCUUUUGCCUGCUCCGACCCAGAAUAUCGAGGUAUUUCUCAACCGCCAUAGAAAAUUUUGAUGCCUCAGAUUCACUUUUUCUCUCAAUGAGCACAUUCUUACCCUUAAAUUCAUUAUGAGGAUCACUCAUUCUAGAGAGGUCACAGUUACCUGAAGGCUUUAUGUAAUAGUGGUUCUUAAAAAGUGUUGCAUCUUCCCCAAUUAUAUCUUCAACCUAAAUAGAAUCAGACACUUAAUAACAGAAAGAGAAAAAUAACACAGUAGACUAAAUAUCACUAGUGACAGAUAAAAUUCACACCAUUGAAGUAACUCUAAUGCAGACACACAGCCAAAAUUAGGGAAAUGCUAAAGUCGAUGGAGAAACCUCUUUGCUAGACCAAACAUAGAAUGCUCCUUCCUUUUUCCUAGUAGCACCUUCAGAUUCAGCACUAUCAGCAUCUUCAGCUGAAUAUAUUUCGCCUUCUAGUCCAAUCAUAUCUCUCCUCAGAUAAUCAAGAACAUCCCGAGCAAUAGAUGCAUAGAAUACAUCUUUGGUGAUAGAAAAUGCAUCUAGGAAGACAUUAACAAGUUGGCCUUGAUCAUACAACAUCUUCUCAAAGUGUGGUACUGCAACAUAACACAAUAAUCUGUUACAAAUAUGAACCAGAGAAAAGAGAUACUGGGCAUGGUGACCAUGAAACAAAUGCAUUCGAUUAAAUAAACAGGUCACUCUGCAAUCAUGCCUGUCAAGUAGAGAUUUGAUGGAAGUAAAAUUCUAUAAAAAGAACUAACCAUGCCAGCACUCAUCCACACUAUAUCGGUGGAAGCCACCUCCUACGUGAUCGUGAAUUCCCCCUCUUGCCAUACAUUGUAAGGUGAAGAGAACCUGUCUCACAACUUCAUCGGCAUUGGCAGGACUUCCAGUCUCCUCCAACUUCUUUGAAUAAUAAAGCAUCAGCUGAAUCUCAACCGGUCUAGGAAACUUUGGGGCUGAUCCAAACCCACCAAACUUCGAAUCAUAACUUUGAGAAAGCUUUAAGAAGAUCAAAUAAAUGCAAAUGCAUUAGAGCUGACUUCUUGUGCAGCAAGAGAAACAAUAAUACACGACUCAUGUUUUUCACCACAAAGUUGAAUAUACGACUCAUGUUUUCCACCAAAUAGUUUCAUUACGAGCUCCCUCUUCUUUGAAGCUUAAUGAAACAUCAGUGACUAUUUGCCCAAAACAAAAAAAAAAGGUGACCAACAUGUUUCCCAAAAUGCCCUUAUUAAAAAGUGAAGAACAGAAAGAAAGUUAUUAGGUAUGCAGCAGGUCUUUGACUUGCAACACCAAAAGCUCAUAAGUAACAGUAUGGUUCAUGGCUCGUCGCAAACAGAUAAGAAAAUUCUCAAAUAAGGCUACAUACUUGCUCAGCACAUAGACGCAAAGCAUUCUUUGGAACCCCAUCUGACAAUUUUUUAGAACUUGCACUCGUUGACAAGGCUUCUGACAACUGUUCAAUAGCAAAGGCUCCACUCUUAACAAGCGCAUCCCUCUUGGUCUCCCAGGCUUCUUUCACCUUUCUGAAGCAAAAGGUGCAGAUACAGGUAAUGCUUAGAAUCUAAUCAACAUUGAACUGUGCUGAAACUUUCAAGUGUUUGUGCCAAUCAAGAUAACCAUGGAAGGGAAGGGGUGGUAGGGAGGGGGCAGAAUUGUAAGUUAAUUGUUCAAAGACUGAACGCCUUCUCACCCAAGUAUUGUCUUAAAUCCUAGUCUUCCAUACUUGUCCUCUGGGGGAAAGUAAGUUCCACCCAUCAAAGGUUUUAAAUCUGGGGAAAGGAAUGCAGUCAGUGGCCAGCCUCCACCACCAUACAGAGCCUGUACAUAUGUCAUGUAUACCUGGAAGAAUAAAAAUGGUCUCAGCACAUCAUGCUGCUCAUAUAACAGAUGCGAAGUUGUUACUAUUUUUCUGAAAAGGGUUCUUCUCGAACAACUAGAAAUCAUUUGUGCCAGAACAAAAAGUUGCUGUGAUGAAACAAUUUUUAUUUUUUUUCAUAUGGCAGGCAUAUUAGAGCUUCUAUGGUUUUACAUAAAAUGAAGUUGAACCAGACCGUUAAUCACCAGUAAGUAUAUGUAAACUUUUAAGCACAUUACUAACUAAGCCUCAUGCUCAUGACUAUAAUCACCUUUCAUAUUGUCUCCUAAUCUUUUGGAAAUACAAAAUGCUCCUGAGAAUCUUUAAUAUCAUUAAAGAUAACAUAACAAUUAGAAAUUCAAAGACUUUUAAAAAAGAAUUCCCAAUCAUAUGUUAGGAGCUCCGGAAGGCCUACUAGUAACUUCUGGUAUUAAUGAUGGUAAUUUUCUAAGUUUAUAAUCAUGAAUCAUUCACCUUAUCCACAUCUGGUCUUUCCUCCCGGUCCACCUGCGGUAAUAGUAUGUUAGAAAAAAGGACUACAGAAUCUCACAUAAUAACUGUGAUACUGGGUAACUUGAAAAUGAGGUAAAUGAAAUAAGCAACAGAAUCAUAAUUUGACUCACCUUAAUACUAACAAACCACUCAUUCAGCAACUUGGCAAUGCCUUCAUCCUCAAAAGACUCGACCUCCAUAACAUGACACCUAAAUGACAGUUCCACACACCAAACAAAUCAGUUCCAGUUCAUUUUCCAACUUCGAAAUCCAAUACAAGUAUAAUCAACUCAAAAUUCAAAUAAGAACCCUCACCAAUGGCAUGUGCUGUACCCGACUUCACAUGUAAAAAGCAGCACACUUUGAAUGAGUAAUCAUCUAUCAAAUGCAUCACAUAAAAAAUGUCUACUUGUUCAACGCAAGAAUUAUAUAACAAUUUUUACUUGAUAAGAAAAUGGGCACAUCUCUCUUUCGAGCUUCAGCGAAAGCCUCUUCACCCCAUGGAUACCAAUCAACCUUGUAACACAAUCAAAAUCCCAUCUUUAACAUUAAAGUAAACAACUUUCAACUCAAUCAUGCCAAAAACAUAAAAACUGAGAAAAAUCAGAGAUACCGGGUUGUGGGCGUGUUGAAGGAGAUAAGGACUGUGCUCGGCAGCGAGGCGAUUGGUGUGUUUGUGGGAAGUUGGGUUCGAAGUAUGUUGGUCAGCCAUGGCAAGAACCUUGGAAGCGAAGAAGGGUCGAUGAGAAAUGAAAGAGUGAGGAAGUGGGUGUGGUUUUCUGGGUGAGGAGAGUAGUUUUGUUGGGUUUGAAGAGAGGAAGCGGUGAGUAAGCCUUUUGAGCAUAGAAUGAUGGAGAAGCAGAGAAGGGUGAGGAGGAGGAGAAGAGGAGGAGGUUGGUGAAAGUAUAGAAGAAAUUGGAAGGGGGGUAGUUGGUGGUGCUGCCAUGUGUAGGGAAGGGGUGAAGAGGAGAGGUGAAGAGUGCCAUGUGGAAGCUGAGCUUGUUUGACAGUUGGAGUGGACCUGACUGGUGUAUAGUGUUAACUAACAGGUGGCCCAGCCUUGAGCAUACAUCCAUGUUUCACAGGAUAGGGGGUAUCUAUGAGUAACGAGACAAGGUACAAACUUUUAUGGAAAUUACUCCUCCACGAUACGGUGUACAUGUGUGCAUGUUUACCAACAAGUAACAAAGAUCCUGAAAAAGGGAAAAAGUUUAAACUGUAUCUGACUUUUUAACGAAGUAAAACUUUGGUAUCUCAUUUUUUAAAAAUUUUAAAACGGUAUCCCACCUUUCGACCCCGAUAUAAGAUCGGUAUCUGGGGCUAACGGGGGAUGUUGGCUCCAUUACAGAGCUUGGCAGGUGGCAUCUUUUGCAGGGUAUUUUAGUCUGUUCAGUCUCUCCUGCCAAUUUAUACCAUAGUUGGCGCCAUGAACUUUUAAUGGGGUAGAUCGGUUUGAAUCUGUUCUUAACAGGCGACAAUGCAGCUACUCCGCGCAUAUUAGCUCUAUUUUGUCUGCUCCUUCACAAUGCAGAAGUUGAAACUAACAAAGCAAACAAUUCCUGGAGCAAAAUGAAAUCAACAACCAUCAAGUAUUUCAUAUUGCAGCAAAGCAUGUCGAGUUCCUCACCUAGUAAUACUUUAGAAGCAAGUAGAAGCACAAAACAAUAGUAAUAGUUCCUCACUCUUCUUACACUUCUUUAAUUUCUUCACCAUCUCCAAAUCCCACGAAUUACUCUUCAUCAAACCAAACCAGCAACUCACAAAUCUACGAAUCAAGAGAUAAAACUUGUCUAACCUCAACGCGUCGAUGCCGGACCAUUCGCGGCGCAUGGUGAGCAGAAACACCGAGAAGUACUAGACGGCGAGAGGGAGGUGGAGGUUGUGGAGGAGAGAGGAGAGGCGAUCGAUGAGCUGGGCCUGGGCGGGGGCCUUGUCGGCGUGCCACAUGCAGUAGAAGAGGCCUUUCCAGAGCUUCCUCAUGUCGUCGUCGGAGAGGUUGAGCUGGGUGGGGAGCCAGGUCUUGAGGAGAACCCUAAGGGCACGGCCGCGGCUGCCUUGGUUGCACGACGCGAGUUGCUUUAUGAGAGCUGGGCCGGAUUCCGAUGCCAUUUCGGCGUCCAUUUUGGCUGCGUGUAUUUCCUAUUGUUUUGUGCUUCUACUUGCUUCUGAAGUAUUACUAGGUGAGGAACUUGACAUGCUUUGCUGCAAUAUGAAAUACUUGAUGGUUGUUGAUUUCAUUUUGCUUCAGGAAUUGUUUGCUUUGUUAGUUUCAACUUCUACAUUGUGAAGGAGCAGACAAAAUAGAGCUAAUAUGAACGGAGUAGCUGCAUUGUUGCCUGUUAAGAACAGAUUCAAACCGAUCUACCCCAUUAAAGGGUCAUGGUGCCAACUAUGGUAUAAAUUGGCGGGAGAGACUGAACAGAUGAAAAUACCCUGCAAAAGAUGCCACCUGGCAAGCUCUGUAACGGAGCCAACAUCCCCCGUUAGCCCCAGAUACCGAUCUUAUAUCAGGGUCAAAAUGUGGGAUACCGUUUUGAAGUUUUUGAAAGGUGAGAUACCAAAGCUUUGCUUCGUUAAAAGGUCAGAUACGGUUUUGACUUUUUUCCCUCCUGAAAAAGAUAGGUAAGAAUGACAAUACAUUUAUUUGAGUGAAAUUCUAUAUAAGUUUGAGUCUUAAUAUUGACAAGUUUCUUAUUAGUAGGUUUACUGAGUAAUCGGGAUCUACGGGACUUAUAUAAUGUUGGUAAAAAUUGUUAACAUCUAAAUCUAAAGAGUUCGGGUUAUCAAUAGUUCAAGUCAUCAUAAGGUCUGACUGUUGAAUGUCUACAGACAAUAAGGUGAAAAACCUUGAGCCAACAAGAUAUAUAUAUAUAUAUAUAUACACACACACAAUGUUGAUCAGGUGCGGACGUCCGCACUAAAGUUUUGUUGCGGAUUUCUAUUUUUGCACCACUUCCUGAUCGAAUUUCCUCAAACUUCUUUCUAGACAUAUCUAGAUCAUCUUGUGUAGAUCAUCUCUGCAAAAUUUCAACCAAUUUGGUGAUCGUUAAGGCCCUCAAACUCGAAAACAAAUGGACUGACUGAAUUCUGUCCGGUUGUGUUCAUACCAGAAAAACUCGAGUUUGAGGGCCUUAACGAUCACCAAAUUGGCUGAAAUUUUGCAGAGAUGAUCUACACAAGAUGAUCUAGAUAUGUCUAGAAGGAAGUUUGAGGAAAUUCGAUCGGAAAGUGGUGCAAAAAUGGAAAUCUGCACCAAAAACUUUAGUGCGGACGUCCGCACCUGAUCAACAUUGUGUGUGUGUGUGUAUAUAUAUAUAUAUAUAUAUAUUACCUCUCUCAUGUGAACCAAGAUGUUAGUUGGGUUACUGACACACGGUUCAUAAUGUUUUUGAGUUCGUCGGCAGCCUCCCCUUAAUCCAAUUUCCUUUCAUAUAAAAAGAGGGUUCACCUUUCAGAUUGAUAUAGUACAAAAAUAAAGAAAAAUUUAAUUGUAAAAAUUAUGAAAAUGUCAUUUUUGAAAAGUUAUAAAAAGGUUAUUAAAUGUCGACUAUGUUCUCUGUAAUAUAUAAAUUGAUACACUACCACAGUGCCAUCCUCCCUAGUCCCGAACUAGUCUAGACCUAUUCCCUCUCUUGUUUCUAAGCUCUUACAACAUGGAACACUUUUAGAAGCUUUGUUCGUGAAUUCAGCUAACCACUAGCUGAUUCAACCUUGAACGCUUCUUGGGUUGGUUGCACUACACAUCCCUCAUGGUAUGCAACAUGAUAUGAGUUGAUGAAAUAAGUUUUGAGUUCAAGCUCUAAGGUUUACAGUCACGAAGAAGACUUAGAGCAGCAUGAACAAUGCAAGAUAGAACUAGACUCAACAAAGAAAACGCAAUAAGGCAGUUUUCAACAACCAUUGAGCAAAGCCAAUGCUAUAGAUAUAUAUAUAGGCAGACAAGGCAUCAAAGAUGAUGCAAGCUAACCUCUACAUGUUUCAGAAAGGUUUGGACAAAAGUGUUUGGUUCCCCAUACUGAAAGUGAUGUAACCAAAUGGAGAGUUGACACAAGCAACCUCAAUAAGACAAAGAUACCUUUCUAAAACAUGAACGAUUCCAAACAGGGAGCAAGAGGUUUGAAACCCUCUUACUCAGUCCAUCAGUGGACCUUGACACAGCCGAUAGCGACUGGUCUUUGAAUCACACAGAGACCAGCUUUGUAUUGGAUAAUGUAUCAUAAAAUCCAAGCUGGAGCCUUGAGCAUCAAACCAUUUGGUCACGGGUUGGCAUAACAAAAGAUCUCAACCCUUAGACUGGUUUGAGCGCCAAAGCACUUCUCACAAACUCAGUUGUCCAUUUGAAUUUGAAAGACUUAUUAAACUAAUAUAACAGACUUUGAAACUCAGGACAGCAGAAGACUCAAUACUAGGAUAGCAAGCGAGGCUGCUAACCUCUGUGAAAAACAAUGAUAUGCAGAUGCAUGUUUUACCUGAAACCAUAAGGGAUAUUAGUGCCACUUGUUCUUGAUCAGACAACAGCAUCUUAAGGUGUUUUACAGGAUAAAAAGGAUUGCCAACUAUCCUUAUACCUUCAGAAAUGAUUGUUUUCAACUCAGUCAACAUGUUACCGAUCAAAGUAAGAUUCUGACAACUAAAACCUGGUUUUAAUUAGCACUUACAAUUUUGCUCUUAGCAACUGAAAAGCACGAUGCUUGUUCUGAAGUUGAGACCUCUCUUCGAUCACUACAGAAGAUGCGGAUGCCAGUUGGCUUAUGGACAAGAUCAACAGCUGUCUCCACCUUGUUGACAUUCUGCCCUGCAUGACAAUGUUGCAUAUAUAUAAAGUUGUGGCAUACAAGGAAGUCGAUACUAAAAAAACAAAAAAUAAUAAUAAAAAAUAAAAAAAACCUAUAUCGAUCCAAACUUCAUCAGAUGGUGUUUUCCUCGUCCUGUAAUUCCUUAUCUAUAUAAAUUUGGAAAUCCCUAUAAUCCCUUGUUCUAAAUUUGAAUUCCACCGGUAAAAGAAUGCAUAUGUGAUAUGUGUUCUAUAUAAAGCUAGCCCAUGGUAGAGUAACUCGUUAUUUAGGUUUCGCAGCAUAUAUAGCAUCUGAUCUACCCUCGGAAGGAGAAUCUGCACCUUAAUAAUAAUGACAUAUUUACCUUCAACAAUGGCUACUCCGGACCGCCCCAACGAACCCCCGACCACCCUCGGACAGAGAAUCUGCACCUCAAUUUGCCUCUUUAUUCUAUUAACAGUCGUUUUUGGAUUGAUUGGUUGGCUAAUCUAUACGGGGAACAUAAAGCCUUCAUCCAUACAUUUCGAGGUCGAAUCCGCCACCGUCUCACAACUCAUCACAGAAGGCAGCUCCUUGAGCGCCACGUGGGACAUUACUCUCCUCGUCGGUAACCCUAACCGCAAAUACAAAAUGUGCUUCGACCACGUCCAGGCAGGGGUUCGCUACCACUACGUCGGUGACAUCGUAAUCGAGCUAGGGAGUACGCCUACAUUGCCAAUUCACUUUGCUUUGAAACGGAUGAACCAAACACACGUACCUCUUGGUUUAAAGAUAGGAGUGGAGAGGCUGUGGAUCGGCGAUGCCGUGGCACAACAAAUCUCCAACGACAGGUCUCGCGGGUCGGUGACGUUUGCUGUUACAGUGGACGCUGUUGUGAGGUUUAAGGCUGUGCUAGCGCCUGUAGAUGAGUAUCGGCUUAGGUUUACCUGCGAUCAGGUAGCUUUUGCGUUUUCCGGGAAUAAUGGUACCGGCAUAAUGACGAGUCAGCUUUCGUGCUCAGUGUUGAACACAGAAUCUAACACAGAAUCUGAAUCUUGGGGUUUUAUUUUCUGAUGAUACAAAUAUAGAGGGCCGGAUAAUAACUUUGUUUAUGAAUGUUGGCCAUUAGUUUCGUAAGUUUUUUUUUUUUUUUUUUGUAAUUAUUGGUUAGCUAAUAGGUUUGGUAACAGAUUGGCUCGUGUUGUUAUAAUAGGUUUGUUUAUUAAUGAUAUGAGUAAACCUUCUUCCAAAAAAAAAAACCAAGAAAUCCCAUUAGUAGCUACAAUAUUGCUCUUUUCUUAACCAAUCACUCCAGUAUUGUCAAGCUAUUGGAUUGUUGUUUGGAGACUGAUGUCCCCAUACGGGUUUAAGAGUUAAUCACAAAUGUGACUCUUUCAACCCAUCUUCACCCGUCCUCAAGCAGACAGUCGUGAAAAAUCUGCCUUAAAAUUGCCAAGGAAGUUGCGGCUGCACUUGCAUACUUGCAUUCCAAGACUUCUAUGAGUUCUAUAUCCCUAUCAUACAUAAGGCCUAAGAAUAAAUUCAGGGUUUUGAUCCAACUAGUCAGAAUGGGAUUCAAUAUUACAUAUCCAAAUGGGAUAUGAGCUCAGCUAUUCUUCAAAAUAAAUAAAAAAUAGAGAAAGAAAAAGAAAAAAUUGAAACCGUUUUCUCCAUAGCACAUUUUCCGGAACAACAGUGUGUGAAUCUUACAACAAUAUAGGCUUCAGAUAGUUUGCUAUAGGGCUGGGCACGGGACGGGAAUGCGUUUUUAAAAAUCUGUCCCGUAUGUCCCGAUUCCGACAAUAAUUUUUUCAAGAACAAAUUAAUUGAUAUCAAACACCAUCACAGGUGGAAAAACGGGUUGAGAAACUCCAAACAUUCAAAUGCUCCACCAAAAUUGAUCAGUGUUUGAAAUUUUCGACAUUUUUAUGCUGUUUGGAACAACAUUAAUGAAAUUAAUGGAAAAAAAAAUCCAAAAACACAUAAACAAAAAAAAGAACAUUGAUGAAAUUAAAAGUACUAAAAUCAACAAGAACAUAGGUGCAUAGGUGCUAAAUUACAUCCCACUUUAAAAAUACUAAACAUCCCACAUUAAAAAUUAACCCUCAAACAACAACUAAAAAUAUCCAAAAUCACAAAAAAAAAAAAGAACAUGAAUGAAAUUAAAAGUAUUAUUUUAGACCAAAUUAAGUGUGGUUGAGUUCAUUGUAACAUCAUGCAACCUCAAAAAUCAAGUAUAAAAUAAAUAAAAUCAUGUAUUCUAAUAUUAUGGGACAGGACGGGAUUUUUCGGGAUAGUACCGUCCCGUCCCGUCCUGUUAUGGUAAUGUUAAAACAGGACGAGAUUGCUAUUUUCAAAACCUAUCCCGUCCCGUCUCGCUAACUUUCGGGACGGGACCGGUACGGGAUCGGGAUUCCGGUACUAAUUGCCCAGCCCUAGUUUGCUAUUACCCAGCUGGAGCUCCUGCAGAUUCAGCAAGUUCUUCCAGGAGUUCCUUUUGCUCCAAGGAUGUAACUGCUUGCAAAAAAGCAGGAAAAUCAAUUGCAGCGUAAUUUCUAACUUAAAAUUUCAUGCACCUCUAUCCUUCUACAUGUAGUAUGCAACUAUCGAUGAAGAAAAUGGACAAGUCUUAAGCAGCCAGUCAAAUUCAUUUAUUUACCAACACUGUACUGUCAAUUAAUAAGCCAUUCUAUUGAUACAAAUGUUCUCACACUACGUCCUUUUUGGCUUCAGACGACAGAAGACGUUUAGUCUGUCGUCCCGAAUAUUGUAACGACAGACAUUUAAAAGAGUGUCGUCUGAAAAUAGCAACUCAAUAGUAGUUAAAAUUAACGUGUUUUUGAGACGACAUACGUUUGUCGUUCAAAAAACAAGGAAAAAUGUACCCUAAUGUUACACUUAUAAGACGACAGAAAACUGUCGUAUGGUGAAGAAACUUAAAUGUGUCUGAAGCUGUUUUUUUUUUUGGUCAUAAUUGGAGGAGUUUUUUUGACACUUAAAACCAACUCUCAUUCUCUCAACUCCCCCGAUACUUUUCUUUACUUUUCUCAACUCUCUUUUCUCUCUCUCAGUGUUCCUCACCCACAUAACCAAAAUCUCUCUUCCUCCUCCCUAAAAACCAAAUUCUCUCCUCUUCACAUUCUCAAAUUGAUCGAAUCCUCUCCUCUAUCUAAUACCCUAAAACUAAUUUCUCUCAUCUAGAUCUGGAGACCCAGAUCUACCCCAAUUUCAACCUCCCAAACCCUAAAUCUCCAAACCCUCGCAAACCAUAUUCACCGUUAAGGCCACCACCCGGAAGAGGCGCGCGGCCAAGCCCGACCAAGCCAAGUCGGCCAACGUCAAUCUCAAUCUCGACCUUUCCAGGUUUUUUUCUCCGCCGUAACGACAGCGCUGUGGUGAGAGGAGAGUCCAGGAUGGACGGGGUAGAGGAGGACCUUGGUGACGAUCUCGUUGGUGGUGGGAUCGGCGAGGAAGUCGACAGUGGCGAUGCGGUAGAGAAUGAGGGGCUUAGAGAGAACACGAGGGGAGAGAAGAAGCGGAGUUGGUGGAGUGUUCGAGGUGGCCUUGGGGGAAGUAGCAAACCCUAGUAUGGAGGGUGGGGAUGGUGACGGAGUUGCCGGCGCAGGCUCGCCAGAUUUUGGGGUCGAUGGAGACGAGCUGCAGGGGAGGCGGCGGCACGUGGGAGUGAGAGAGACACUGAGAAUUGGAAGACAUGGUGAUUGGGAUUUAGAGAUUGGAGGAAGAAGAGGAAUGAAAUCUCUCUCUUUCUCUCUCUUUCUUCUCCAGGUUUUGCUAGGUUUCCAAUGGCCACCAUUCCAGGACAGUUGAUCUGGGAGAUCACCAAGAAGGAGGAACAAGCCUGCGAGCUUGGUUCACAAGUCUGUGAUGAGGAAGGAAUUCCCUCGCAUGGCCAAGGCUGUUACUAAUCAGGUACCAACAUGCUCGAUUUACAAUUCGUUGUUUUGUUGAUGCAUAUGUGUUUUGUGGAAUGUUAUGAAUGAGGAUAGGUCGACUUGAGUUUUGUGGAAUUCAUCUUCCACCACGACUGUUGGUUUCUCCAUCUAUAUCAUUGGCUAUGUAACCCAGACAAGACUCCAAAGGUCAAGAUUCUUAAACUCUUUGUUAUGAGUUUGUUUCUAGUAACAUAAUCUAUAUUUUAUGUAAACACAUUAAUUAAUUUUCAUUAUCCAAAGUUCCAAACCAUUACGUAUACAUUUCUCUGAUUCCCUAACAUAUUCAUUUGAACUUUGUUAGAAUGAUAUAUAUGAAUGGCUAGCGGCUACGUACAUUCUUCCUCCGGUUCGCAUUGGCUAUCUACUUCGGUAAUAUCAUCCCAAAUGUAUCUGGUGUGAGGAAGUCAGUGUUCUACUUUUUAAAGCCAGGAUACUGGAUAGGGAAAAGUGGAAACAAAGUGGAAGGUAAAAAUACUGAAAUUCAGUAUCUGCUCAACUUUCCUUUCUAAGUUGUACUUAUGAGUUGUACUUAUGAGUUGUGACUUGAUACUUUUGUGUUCCUCUAGCUCUCUUUGGGUAGAGGGUGGUGUUUGUAGUUAGAUAGGUUCAAUUCCACCACCUGAGCAUACUGGUCCUGAUGAUGAAGAUGUCCUGGAAGAGGAGAACAUUGUCAAGGAGCAAGCUAAGGAAGGCACAGUUGGUCUAAACCUUGCAGUUUAAAUACGCGUUCUUGUAAAAACAUAUCCUAGCAAAAAACACAGUCGUUGUUGUUCCAAGAGCAAGAGGACUCCACCAUACCAUGCUCUUAAGGUACAUAACCUAUUUUGACUCGUUAAGAGAAUGUGGAUCUUAUUAUGAACCUGUUGUUCGUGUGGAGCAAAAUCUGGUGAAAUAGUCUAUUUAGAUUAUUCAUUCGAUGCAUCUUUGUCUAGCAUUUUGUACCUAGACUAUGAGAUCCUCUAGCAGAAUAUUAUGUCUUCAUCAAAUAGAUGCUCAGGCAUAUAUACCUCUUUGCUAAUUUUUAGGUGGAUAGGUCGACUGGAGUUUAGUUAUUUGUUCUUCUUUGGACUUGCUUUGUUGGCCAUAAUGCUUGUCGGUCUUAAUGACUUUAUGCAAGUAUAUGCAGUGCCAUAUAGUGAGAUGCCUCUUCUUUUUGACCUCUGUUAGUUGCUCUCUGCAUAUAAUAUGACCUGGACUAGAAAAUUGAGGUAUUUCUUAAUCGUGGUAUACUGGUAUUUCUCUGCAUAUAAUAUAACCUAGAUGCCUAGUGUAAUUUUAUGAUUGCUGCUAUUAUCAUCGACCUCAACUCCAUUGGUUUAUUUGGGUGAGUUUAUUUUACUGCUAUUGCCUUUAUGAUCAUCAUUUAAUUUAACUGUAUUUAACUUUGGUUCUUAUAUUCACUGUCAUAGAAGUACAUAGGUCUCAUCAAGUUAAGAUCCAGCAUUGGAUAUUGUAGGUACUGUAUCAUAAAUAUUCUUUGCAUGAAUGCAUCAUAAUGUUCAGAUCUUACUUAACUUCUUAUUGCUAACAUUUAAUUGUUUAUUGACAUAUACUCAUAUUAAGUUAAGAUCCAGCAUUGGAUAUUGUAGGUACUGUAUCAUAAAUAUUCUUUGCAUGAAUGCAUCAUAAAUGUUCAGAUCUUACUUACUUCUUAUUGCUGAAAUUUAAUUAUUUAUUGACAUAUACUCAUAUUGAUUCACUAAAGUUCUUUGUCUUCAAUGUUGCAGGUGACACUUGAAUGAAUGGUGCAUAUUGAAGUUUGAUGAGUAUGAUGAAAGUAUCAGAGUGCCUUAGUGCAGUUAGGACUUAGGAGGACUUUCUGCACACCACCAUAUUGUAGUUGCUAUUAUUUGGUUUGAUAUAUUUUUUAUUUUAUAGUUUAUGGGUCCCUUUAGAACAAAUAACUCUUUGUAAUUUGAUUGGUUUUGGCAAUGAGAAUGAAUUUGAGAUUUCUGAAUCAUGUUGUGCAAAUGCUUUAUUAAAUUGUCAUCCAAAUUAAAAUCAGACAACAGAUAUCCCCAUGGACAUCGACGUCUCUACAUAUUUCAAAUGACAUUUAUAUGUCGUCUUAAAGUAAAAGAUGACCAUAGUGUAUGUCGUCUGAGGUAAGUAUCAGACGACUAUUAAGUGACGUUUGAAUGCAUUUGAGUCGAGAGAAGAGGUUUGACGUAUGUCGUCUGAGAUAUAUUUAGACGACAAAAUAGUAACAUGUGAAUAAGUUUGAGACGAGAGACGGCUGCUCACAUCUUUAGUAUUACUUUAGUUUCGACGAUACUUUUAUGUCGUUAAGAAGCUUUCUAACGACAGAAACUUUAAUUUUGUUACGAAUGUAGGUGCAUACAGACGACAGUUGCUUAUAUACAAUCUGUCGUCGAAGUGGUAUCAAACGUCUAACGAGGUCUGUCGACUGAAUGCUUAUCAAAUGACUGCUUGAUAGACGACAGCCGAAAAAACAUUCAGACGACCAACCUGGCAGGUCGUCUGAAGCCAAAAUUGACGUAGUGUCAUUCUAUACCCUCUUCACAAAAAACCAUAUAUGUGAUGCAAAUGUUCACACCAAGGUAUUAGUCAUAUGCAUCUUAAAUAGUUUCUAAGCUAAACGAGUAACAGAUACCUGUGAUUUCCGUUGAUUCUGAAUCAGUUCCUGCUGCUCUCUCUCAGUUUUAUCUUAUAUGAUCUGUAAAUGAUCAUUUAUCAUCAGAACUGCACCACAGAAAAGGCGGGUGGAAAGUGGAAACAAGACAUAUAUGUCUGAAAGAAAUGAUUGUUUCCAACUCAGUCAACAUGCAUGUUACCAAUCAGAGUAAGAAUCUGAGGACACAUAAAACAUAUGGUUUUAAUCAGCACUUACAAUUUUUGUAUUGGCUAAGCAUGCAUUGAUGCAUAUAAUUCGCUUUUAGUUUAGGGGUACCAUAAUCAAAAUUUGUAACUUAUCAAUGUCUUACUACUGAUGGAGAGCAGGUAUGAGCAUCAUGGUGCUCCUUGUAGUAGGUUUUAGGAUUUCCAGGGCAUUAUUGAACAGAAAUUAAACUAGUCCAACCGAUCAAAAGAGAGUUCUUUAAACAGAAGGGGUAGAGGAAUGAUUUUAAAUAAUUUUACUUACGGGGCGAGGAGAUGACAGACCUACGUACGUACUUUGAACAAAUCCAACUUGAAUCCUACCAACCAAGCUAGAAAACUUGUUCAUAUACGUUCUGGAUUAUGUUUUUGAUAUCCAAACUUCAUCAGAGCUAGGUUGCAUUUCCUCAGCGUAGUAUAAUUCCUUAUCUCUUCUAAAUUAGAAUUCCACUGUAAAAAAAUUUCACACUCACUCCGGAACAAUGCAUAUGUGUACGUUCUAUAUAAAACUGGCCCAUGCAUGGUAAAGUAACUACGUUAUUUAGUUUUCGCAGCAUAGUAUCUGAUUCAUCUAGCAUAUAUACCUUCAAUAAUGGCUAUUCCGGUCAGAUCGGCCGCCAUCCCAUCCGCGCCUCCCUUUCCCCAUCCAUCCCUACCGGACCGCCCGUGCACCACCUUCUGCUACUUAAUACGAUGCCUAGUAAUAACCCUAGUUGUAGUUGGAGCCGGCGGUUGGCUAAUUUAUUUAUGGAACUGCCACCGUCUCCCAACUCAACACAGAAGGCAGCACCAUCAGCGCCACGUGGGACAUUACUCUCGUCGCCGUUAACCCUAACCGCAAAUUCAAAACCUCCUUCGACCUCGUCCAUGCAGGGGUCGGCUACUACUACGGUAACACCGUUAUCGAGCUAGUGAGUACGCCUAGGUUUCGAAGACACUUUGCUUUGAAAGAGAUGAACCAAACACGUUUCGAUUUCAAGAUAGGAGUGGAGAGGCUGAUGAUCGGCGAUGCCGUGGCACAAAAAAUCUCUUACGAUAGGUCUCGAGGGUCGGUGAGGUUUGCUGUUACAAUGGACAUUUUACGGGUGAAGUUUAAGGCUACGCUAGCGCCUACACUAGAAGAUCAGCAUCGGGUUGGGGUCACCUGUGAUCAGGUAGCUUUUGAGUUUUCCGGGAAUAAUGGUACCGGCGUACAGACGAGUCAGUCUUCGUGCUCUGUUUAUUUUGAUUGACAAUUAGUAUAGGUAUGGUAUGUGCUCGAUCAUUGGUUUGAACCAAUUUUCUUAGUUUUGUUUGAUUUUUUAAAGGUAGGAUGCGUCUAUUGCCACCCCACAAACCAUUUUACUCACCUCACAUUCUUUUCACAUCUCACUCAUAUAAUUUUAAUUACAAGUCUAUUUUGUUCACCCAUUAACAAUACCUAAAAUACCCUUUUAUCAAUUCUACUUUGUUCAUCCUAGCUACAUUAUCUUCUCACCCUACAUAUAUUUUGAUAUAUUUUAUCAAAUUCCGAUUCGCUGAAGGUAAGUAAAAUCACCAACUGAACAAAAAAAAUCACAUUAAAAUAUAAAUCCCAGUUAAAGAACAAGAAAAAACUCUCAAAUUUAAUAACUCAAUAAUAUCAGUCGAUAUCAUAAUGCACAAUGUCUGUAAAUGUAUCUCUAGUAGCAACGUUUUCCAUACUUUUGAGUUCUUUAACUGAUCUAUGUGUUGUUCAUAAAUAAGGUACAGUAGUUGUCCAUGGGAAUUUAGAUACAAAGUCAACAUAAGAAAUAAUGAGUAAAUUGAUAGACAAAUCACCAACAAAGAAAAAAAGAAAAAAAAGAAACACAAAUAGUUUACCUCAUCUUCAGGUUAAAUGUUGGUGUCUUCAGACUCACAACCGAUGAUAAAUUUAGGUUAAAGUUUAUGAAGUUUGUGUUCAUCUAAAACAAAAAGAUAAAAAAAAAAAAUUGUAAUUUGUAACAAUUUAUUGUCCCUUGCUGUAAUUUUACAUCAGGGUAUUUUAGUAUUUCAAUAAAUCAACAACAUGUGAGGUGAGCAAAGUGGUUUGUGAGGUGGUAAUAGACGCACCCUUUUUUAAAUUGAUGACGGGUGACAUGACAUGUCACAUAAGAUUAAAGUCAUAAAUCUUAAACCUUAUUAAGGCCCUCUAACCCAUUAAUAUAUGUUCCAUCGUUUGUUUGAACCAAGUUUCUUUUCAUGUUUGGUCCAAGACUCCAAGCACAAAUAGUCCUUGUUUAUGAUUUUUUUUAUUUUUGGCAACUUAGCAUACACAUGGUAUGUGUUGGUUUGAACCAAUUAUCUUAGUUUCGUUAGUUUUUUUUUUUAAUGAGUGGUUAGCUAAUAGGUUUGUUACACAGUUGAGCACUGUUGGCUCAUGUCGCCGUAAUAAUUAGUAUUUUAUUAAUGGUAUGAGUAGACCCUCCAAAAAAGAAAAUUGCGAUUAGUAGCUACAUUACUCUUUUCCAAAUCAAUCACUACAGUUUAAGAAUGGGACUCUUUCAAGCCAUCUUCACUCGUCCUCCAAGUAAAAUGGGACAGUCGUGAAAAAUCUGCCUUAAAAUUGCGAAGUUGCAGCAGCACUUGCAUAUACUUGCCCUCCGAGAGUUCUAUGAGUUCUAUCCUUAUCAUACAGGAGUUUGAUCCAACUAGUCUCAGUCAAUAUUCAUCUGUCUUAUAAAUUAUAAUCAUCUUGAUUUGGAUUAUGAACUAUAAUUUAGGUGCCUCAUGAGUUUGAUCUUUACAGAUAAUGGGAUUCCAAAUGGUGCCUCAGCAUUUUCUACCGGAUUAUGGUGGUAGGCGAAGCAAAUUUUAUGAUACUCCCUUGCUCCACAAUGUGGUGUAUAUAUGCUUGUUUUCUUCAUCUUUAAUGAGGAUUCUGACGAUGAUCGUCAAGAAUCGGAAGGCAUGCUUGAGUGGAACUCCACAUAAGUUCGAGCCCCAACAUGUACAUGUCCCUUUAUUAGUAGCUUGCUAAGUACUAUGAACCUGCAAUGACCCAUAUGACGUUGGUAAAACGUGUCAGAUCUAAAGAGUUUGGGUCAUCACGAGACCCGACUGUUGAUUGUAUGCGGACUUACAAUGUGAAAAAUCUCAACAAGAUAUAUUACUGCUCUUAUGUCAGUUAUGUGGAAUCGGCUUGAAUCUAGAUGUUAGAUGAUUUAUGCCUCCUCCAAAUCUAAAUAACCAAAAAAAAAAUUUUUAAAUAUGGUACAAAUUUAUAAAAAUAAAUAAAUAAAUAAAUAAAAAAUGAAUUCAAAACAUGCCAUUUCUGAAAAGUCAAAGUUGCUGAAUUUCAAACGAGUUUCCAGUACUCUAGCUAUUCACUUUUCAUUAGAUGAUUAUCAAAUUUGCCAACCAGCAAAUUUGAUGACCAACAAUGACCAUCCAAUCAAGAGAGAGAGAGAGAGAGAGAGAGAGAGAGAGAGAGAGAGAGAGAGAGAGAGAGAGAGAGAGAGANNNNNNNNNNNNNNNNNNNNGAGAGAGAGAGAUGAGUGGUUGUGAUUUGAUGGUCAUGGUGGUCAUCAAAUUUACUGGUUGGCAAAUUUGAUUCCAUUGAAAAUGUAGUCUUAUCAAUUCCCAAAAUUGAAAUUUUGUUACAGUGGUUUUGAACCCCAAGACAAUCAAAAAGCGGAAACUCAACUGUUUGCAGCGUCGAUCUAUCAAAAAAAAAAUGUUUGCAUUGUUUUUUUUUUCGAUUAAGAAAAUGUUUGCACUGUUGAACCUGAAAUUUUGUUAUGAGAUCGAGUGUACUAACUCCCUGCUUAGAUAACUAUUGCAUUAAAUCUUCAGAAGAGAAGUUGAUUCAACAACUGAGGUGAUCUAUUGCCUCAUAGAUAACUACAUAAACUAACAUCAACAAUGAGUUCGUUCAUGAUGUUUUUGUCAUUCUGUGUCAUGACCCAUGCCCAGUGUGGAAGGCAAAAAUACUCAAGUAAUAAACGUUCUUAUCAUGUCUUAUUGGGCUAGAAGUAGAACAUGCAUUUUGUAUGUAAUUUCAGUAUGUCACUCAUUUUAACGAAAUUUUCAUCUCAUAAAUAACAUAGAAACUUAGAAAGAAAGAAAAGAGAAACUAUGACUUGAUCGAGGAGAAUUGAUCGAAUAUAUACCAAUCUGUGACCGAAAAAUCUUGGUUCAUAUUGCUCGCCUUUGAAUUUCAUUAACAAAAACAAUGAAAAUGAUGAGUGACAACCCUAUAUAACUAAUACAACUGAACUAUAAACGGACAAACAUCUUAACAAAAUAUUCCAAGAACAACAGAGAGGCUAGCUAGCUAGGGGUUCUAACGAUGAAUUGAUGAAAGAAUCCCAAAGUAACAAAUUAAAAGAUGAACUUGUUCUUCCCGAGCUUCUGGAAUUUGUCGCAUCCCAGCAUAUGCGGGACCAACGAACAAGGAAUUACGGCGAUAUGUCGGAGAUCCGGAACGCGCGGUUUGAGAGGCUCAUCCUGCAUCUGCAUCUGGGUCAGACCUCCACGUCUCGCAGCGAAGUGUUGCACGCGUUCUUGAUCUCGUUUAACAAACCUUGUGAUGAGGAGGGCGUCUUGAGCGUCGUCGGUUGGGUUGGAGGAGAAGGUUGUGCUUCCAUUAGCAGUUGAUAUGAACAAGGUUGCGAAUAGAAAGCACAGAAGAAGGCAUGGUACUACUGCUUUAUUAGCCAUGGCAGAGAAGAAGAAAGUAUGUUUUUUUUUUUUCGGGGUGAUCGAAUUGUAUAUAUAGGGCUUUGGAAACUUGAGAUGCAAGAAUACUAGCUAGCUAGGUCUCCCAACUCUUAUAGGAUUAGGUUUGUAUAAGCGGCCCUACCUAGUUUUCUUUUAUAUUUGCCAACUUGAAUUCCUUUUCCCAAAUUAAAACUUGUUCGUAAACAACUUGGACUCGUAAUAAAACUGAAAGUUCACGAACUGCGUGUGUCUAGCCCUGUGACAAAAGCUUGUUUCCGGGAGGCCCCCACGAAAAUAGAUGGGUAGAAUCUGCUAUGGGGACGCCGUCCGACUACUUUUACAUCUCAAGUAAGUUAAACAUGAUCACUAUUGUUGGUUGCAAUGCAAGCACGAUGAUCAUUACCGGCACCCCUAGUAAUUUGAGCAACAACAUUGCAGAUUUGCCUCGACUAUUGAGUUGUUGUUCGGAGACUGAAGUCCAAAUGGGACUCUUUCAAGCCAUCUUCACUCGUCCUCAAGCAGACAGUCAUGAAAAAUCUGCGGUUAAAUUGCAAAGGAAGUUGCAGCAGCACUUGCAUACUUGCACUCCCAGACUUCUAUGCUCUAUCAUACAUAAUGCCUACGAAUAAAUUGAGGAGUUUGAUCCAACUAUCUCGGUCAAUAUACAUCUGUCUUAUAAUCAUCUUGGUUUGGAUUAUGAACUAUAAUUUAGGUGCCGUGCCUCAUGAGUUUGAUCUUUACAGAUAAUGGGAUUCAAAAACUACAUAUCCAAAUGGGAUCUGAGCCUCAGCUAUUCUUCCCAAAAAAAAAAAAUGAGAAAGAAAAAGAAAAGAAACGGUUUUCUCAUAACAGAUUAUCUGGAAGAACAGUGUGAAUCUUACAACAAUUAAUGUAGGCUUCAGAUGGUUUUCUAUUACCCAGCUGGAGCUCCUACAGAUUCAGCAAGUUCUUCCAGAAGCUCCUUUUGCUCCAAAGAAGUACAGGCCUGCAAAAAAGCAGGAAAAUCAAUUGCAGCGUAAAGUCUAACUUAAAAUGUCAUGAACCUCUAUCCUUCCUACAGUAUGUAUCAAUGUAGAAAAUGGAAACAUCUUACUAGAGAAAUACCUGAAUUGCGUUAUCUAUAUCACCACCAAGAAAACCGGUGAGCUCAUAGUUUAUCUUCAACCGGUGGUCAGUGACUCUAUUGUCCUGAAUCAAUAAACAAAAGAGUAAAUAACUUCCCCAAACGUAACAACAUAAUCAUGAAGAGAUUUUGUACACACUAGUCUCAUACAGGUUAGGCUAAGUUCACAAAAUUACUUGACCAGACUGACACUUGUUUAAAAACUUUAUACAAUUAUUGGGACUCUAAAUCUAAUAGUUGAAACCUUUUGAAUCAGAUAGUUUCUUAAGCAGCCAGUCAAAUCAAUUUUUUACCAACACUAUAUUGUCAAUAAGCCUAUCUUCGAGACUUCAGUGGCAGUAAACUUAAAAUUGAUGACAUGAGAAAAUAAAUCUAACUAGUUAUUAGUACCUUGAAAUUAUAUGUUCGAAUCUUUUCUGCACGAGAACCGGUCCCAACCUGCAUUUCAAGAAUACAACAUCAUUAAUGUAGUUAAUCUAGUGCCUAAAUCAUUACCUAAAUAAUGUAAUUGUAGUAUUGUUCUAUGUGUGUGUGUGUGUGUGGAGAGAGAGAGAGAGAGAGAGAGAGAGAGAGAUGGGAGGCUCUUGCCUAGAGGUCACAUUCUAUACCCUCAUCACAAAAAACAUAUAUGUGAUGCAAAUGUUCACACCAAGGUACUAGUCAUAUGCAUCUUAAAUAGUUUCUAAGCUAAACGAGUAACAGAUACCUGUGAUUUCCGUUGAUUCCUAAUCAGUUCCUGCUGCUCCCUCAGUUUUAUUUUAUACCUGAAACAUGGUCAUUGAUCAUCAAAACUGCACAAAAGAAAAGCCGGGUGGAAGCAAGACAUAUAUGUUUGAAAGAAAUGAUUGUUUUCAACUCAGUCAACAUGUUACCAAUCAAAGUAACAUUCUGAGGGCACCUAAAACAUGGAUUUAAUCAGCACUUACAAUUUUGCUCUCAGCAACUGAAAAGCACGAUGCUUGUUCUGAAGUUGAGACCUCUCUUCACUACAAAAGAUGCGGAUGCCAGUUGGCUUAUGGACAAGAUCAACAGCUGUCUCCACCUUGUUGACAUUCUGCCCUGCAUGACAAUGUUGCAUAAAGUUGUGGCAUAUAAGGAGUCCUUUCCUCUUACCAAAUUGAGGUAUGCAAAACAAUGUCAAUUCUACAAUAAACAAAUACCUCCAGCUCCCCCAGACCUUGCUGUUGUCAGUUCAAUAUCUUUUGGGUCAAUAACCACCUCAACUUCAUCCGCCUACAAUAUGGCACAGAAGAACUAUAAAUAAGGUAACAUGAAUGAUACAAUCAAGAGUAACGUAGAAUAUUAGUCACAAAAAACAAGAUUCAGAAUAUUCCGGUUGCCACAGCAAGCUUGACUUCAACAAUUUUGAGGUAAGGGGAUGAAUUUAAAACUAUAAAUAUUAUAAAGCCAUCUGGAUACAGAUUGAGGAAAGUAGAUGGUGCUACUCAAAUUCAUUAAAACAGUACAUCCAAACGGAAAUUUUGUAGCAGAUAAAGGGACAAUAUUCAACCAUAUUAGAGGGUAAACUAAUUUAUUACUAAUGGCAAUGAAAGUGGGGAAGAAUGGCAAAGAAAGUAAAAGAUAAUGCAUAUCACUGUUUUCCUCAUCAGGAAGAAUCCAAAUGAAGUACCACCUUUUCGAGAUAGUCAAUGUAAAGAACUUGGAACAUUGGUGGACCAAUGUUAGUAAUGGGUAUACAAACUUGAGCACACUUUAUUGAAUCUUUCAAAAUCCAGAUCCAAUGUAAAAUUGAGUAUUUUGUGCAAAAGAUAAGAUACCUCAGGCAUGAUGGCAACAGUUGCAGUGGAAGUAUGCACACGACCCUGUGUUUCCGUAUGAGGAACACGUUGAACCCGGUGAACACCAGACUCAUAUUUUAAUUUGCUGUAUACACGCUUUCCUUUUAUCUCCAUCACAUAGGUCUUGUAUCCUCCUCUUUCAGCCUAAAAGAAAGAAAGAAAGCUCUAUCAGUCAUGUCAAGAGCAAUAGGAUAUACCUCCUUAAAAAUGGCAGCAAAAAUACCUCUGUGCUUGAAACUGGGUUGAACUUCCAAUUGUUCCUCUCACAGUACUUCUCAUACAUACGAACCUGGGUCAGGAAAUAAAAAUAAAUAAAUAAAUAAAUGCAGAAGCAUCAAGGUAUGCUCAAAAACAACUUGAAGGAAUGACUUCAUGGACUAAAAGAAUACUUGUUUAGGCCUAUAAUGCGUGUCAUUGAAAACAAAACAUAUAAAGCGAGCUUGGUGUCGUAACAAGUUUAUCCACAUAGAUAGAUGCUGAAACAAGCUUGUCCAAAACCUAAGUUACCUAGCCCAUUGUUAUAGCUUUUCUCAUUUGGGAGAGACAAACAUUCAAGGCCAGGAAAUUUUGCAAAAUACUUGUACGAUUUUUUCCUGGUAUUCUUUUCUUUCUUUAUCACCAGUUUGGUGUUGUAUGCAAGAAAGGUAGAUUCCCUAUAGAUUUUAAAGGACAAAAAAAACAUAUACCUACAAGAUCACCUGCCCAGAUUCCAGCUUCAUCACCACCAGUACCAGCCCUUACUGUAGCAAGGAACAAUGCUAUUUUUAGUUAAAAUGAAAUUGAUGGGCAGGUACCAUCAUCGCCAGCAUAAUAAUGAAAAAAGCUGAUCUAUAUGUAGUAGGAAGAACAUGGUGAACCUAAACAGUCAUUGCAUUGUCUACCAUAUACUUGCCGUAGUUCAGACCACCCGAGUAAAGUAGAGCAGUUUACUCAGUAGAAAAUGAUACGUGGCUCACAAUUAAUCAAAUAAAACAAUUUACUCAAAAGGGAAGAUAUGAAAUUACCUUCAAGCAUUAUAUUUCUGGCAUCAAGAGGGUCUGUAGGAAGGAGUUUCGUCUGUUAAUAUAACAUGUAACAUUAUUAAAAAAAUUAAAAAAUCAUUCCAAAUAUCAGGACAAGGAACAACUGUUACUCGGAAAGAGGAGCACCAAUCUAACUGCUAAUAGCCUAAUACAAGGCUCACCAUAUCAACAAUAUUAUAUCAAAUUACACCAUAACGUACCUUAAGCUUCUCCUCAAGUUCUUUGAUUUGAUUGGACAAAGAUUCAAUUUCGUACGAAAUCAUAGCCGCCAUUUCUUCAUCAUUUCCAUCCUCAUCCGCCAAAGCUGAUACAUUGCGUCAUAAACAAGGACUUCAGCACUAAAAUACCUUGAACAUAUUCGAAACCAGAACUCUACUCAAAUAGUCAAAUUGCAGCAAACCUUUACUCUCCUCUAACUGCUUCUCACAGUCCUUAUACUCCUUAUAAAUUGACACAACCUGCCCAACAGCACAAAACCGCCUUCAGCGAAAUCCGAAAUGAACUCAAUCAGACAAAAUAUGUUAAUCUAAACUCUGCAAUACCUCAUCGAGCUCCGCCACGGAUUGCGCCAGCCUCUGGUACUCACUGGGAUUCGACACGAUGUCUGGAUCAGCUAGCUUGACCUAAUUCAAUUUUUAAUUCCCUUCUCUAUCAGAAAAACUCAAAUCUAACAACAAAGCAAGUAAAAAUUCGCAGUAAAAUAUUUACUAAUUUAAACCUAUCCAUUCUAAUCACGGUAACUAAAAAUCAUACCGAUAAUUCCUUCCAUGUCUUCUCCGCAGAUUCCAGCUUCGUAAUCAAAUACGGUGCCUGCAAAUUCAACCAGGAUUAACACAUGAAAUUACUCCUAUAACCUCAGUUCGUUAAUUACCAAGCAGAAACUGAAUGAAGAAGUUACUAAGUGGUGAAUGGACUGACCGCCAUGCAAGUGAUUCGUGGAGCUCUGGGAUGAGGUUUGGGGAUGGAAAGGGAAGUCCAUGAGUGGUGGGUGAAACGGCGUCGUGGAGGGAAUGCGAGUAAUCGCGGCGGUGCGGAGGUGGUGGUGAGGCCGCUCAUUGCCGCCGUGGGGGAGAAAAGCGCGGUAAGGCGGAGUGGUUGGAAAUGGAGGAGAUUUUGAUUCUUUUUAAGGCGACGGGGUGUGGAUAAGUUCCGUUGUGAGGUGUGCUUAGGAUAGAGCAGCUAUUAAUGGAUUCCAGUAAUACACAAAGCCCACGUUUUUUUCUUCUAGCCCAAUCUCUCAGCACAACAACGAGAAAACGGUGAAACCGUUAAACAACGACAAACGUGACACGUGGAUUAUAUAAAUAUUAAUUAUAUUAAAUAUCAUAUUUACAAUAUAUUCUACUCUUAAUCUUGUGUCAUGACUCACGCUAACAUAAACCAAAUCGAAGGAGCCGGGUGGGAAUGAGCAAAAUCAGCAAGAUAGUCUGCUACAAAGUUAACCUUACGAAACAUAUGAUGAACACAAUAUAAUCAAAUUGAGCAGCAAAAUGUGAGGAUGUCCUUGACUAGUAAAUAGUGUGAAGAACAAUAGAGACUGUGAAUUUUUAUGCGAAAUAAUUGACACUGUAAAAGUCAAGAGUUGAAAUCUCCCUGACAUCAUCAUGGGACGAGUGUGACAAGAAAAAAAUAUAGUAGUUUUAUACUUAAACAAGAAAAAGCCACUAAGCUUAAAAAGAAAUUGUAUUGAUCCGCAAAUGAUACCUAUGAACUUAUUGUUUGUUUAUUUUUAGCGAAACCUCACAGCUCAAAGUCGACAACACACCAAUAUGCCAAGCAAUGCUUGUCUGGUAGUAGCCUAGUCACACCAAUUACGGUGUGACUGAAACAGCACAACACACAGCGGGAUAUUGUCUGCUUUGGCCUCACUCUCAUGGUUUUGUUCUUGGGUUUCCAACUCAAGAUGUGUCUCACUAGUGUGCGUAAUUAUUGUUUUGGCAUUACAUUUUCUUUAUUGAAACAUCUAUGAUGAAUUAUUAAAAACUCAUAAAAAGGGGGGAGGUUGGGCCUGCACGAUUCCUCGAGUGAGAUGUACGCAGUUUAUGGAGGGGGAGAAGACAUGAAAGAGAAAAUACUUUCAUUUUUUUUUCGGAAAUGGAUCUUACCCUUCUAACAAGCCUGACUUCCCGCUUAAGAAGUACUUGAUUACCGUGCAAGCUUUGAGAAUCAGUUUACCAGAAUUUACUGAAUUGAAUUCGGUACUCCUCUUUAGGUUGCGAAACAAAAAAAUCCUUCUUUAAAC